UCAUCUCUUCCUAAGCUCCACGGCGACAAUUUUUGCACCAUAUCAAACUUAUCUAGACUGAAAAUGACUUGGUUUAUUGGAGACUUAGCUUUUGCCAGUAGUUGAACUAGUCUUUUAGGCUUCCCAUGGAUUGGCUAUUUUAUUUGCAUGGAUUGGUUGUUUUGUUUAAGUUAUCGUCUGCUUGUCACUGAAUUUAUCUUGCUUUCUCGUUCGUGGUUGUUUCUAUCUCUGAGCACUGUUUGGUUUGUGCCUAUGAUGUUGUCUAUCUCGCUAGCAAAGAAGCAACUCUACCCGAGGGUUGCUGCAGUACAAAACGUAUAUGUAGGCCGCUAAAUAUAUUUAGAGGCUGAGGCAACAGGCAAAUUUAGUGAAAAUUCCUUAUGGGUGGGACCAAGUUCUUUAUUGAUUUUGUGUAUACUUAAAAUUGUUCUGGCUAGUAUCUCUCACAAAAUCAAUACGUAGUGGAGGGAAGCCGACUCGCCUCGUCAAUAAAUAAAGACCACGUUUGAGACGCUUUAGAGGAACGGAAACCCUGACUCGCUCGGUUGUCGGUUGUUGCAAUGGCUGGCGGAGGCAGAGGACACGGCGGCGGGUGGAGCUCCCUGCCGGCGGAGCUUAUACAUGAAGUAUCGAACCGUCUGCACGCCGACGUAGACCAAAUCCACAUCCACCAGGUAUGCUACCACUGGCGCGCGUCCACCGCCCCGCUCGCAGCCUGCCGUCCGUGGAUCGUCGCCGCCCACGACCGCCACCGCAACCCUGUCAGCGCCGUUAACCUUGUCUCUAACCACUCCUUGCUGCCCCGCGGUGGAAAAAGGAUGCACUCCCGGGCCCUAGCCCCGGCCGGCCUCCGCCGCUGCUGCUGAUCCUCUGGGAGCCCCUCUCCCAAGCCGAGAUCCCUCUGCCGCCUUUGUCAGCCGUCGCCCAACUAUUCCUCUCCAGCGACCCGAUCACCUCGCCGGCGGGCUGGAUGGCGAUCGCGAGCCAGAAAAUCCCGGGCGCACAGAUCGGGCACAUGCCCUUCUUUUGGCGCCCUUGGAGACGCGGCCUGGACGAUACAACCCGAGCACCCUAUAGGCCGGAUCGACGGCGCAGCCUUCCACCAAGGCAGGCUCUACAUCUCCGACAUGAGCAUGAGACUCAGCAUCUUCGAUCUACAGCAGCAUCCUCCCAAGCGUCUGCGGCUUAUCUCCCUCUACACUCCUCUGCGGACGCGGUAUCCAAGCCGCUUACCCGGCCCCGGGGAUCCUGGUGGCAUGCGACAACCAGCUGUUGCUCGUCAUGGUGUAUCGUGGACAAGGACGCCCCAGCCUCGUGAUCCUUGUAGAGGUGCACCGCCCGGAUUGGGCCGCCGACCGCCUCAACAUCCAGGGGAGAAGGUGACGGAUCUCGGCGACUGCUCGCUCUUCUUGGGCCGGGGUGACGGCCUCGCGCUCUCUGCGAAGGACUUCCCUGCCAUUAGGAGAAAUUGUGUAUAUUUUGUGAAGCACGACACAAGAAAGCAUGAGCAAUGGGUUAUUGUGUUUGAUUUGGAGUCAAACGCUUUGGACCGAAUUCCUCACCCACAAGAGCACAUGGAGGGCGGCAGCAAAAACAGUGGCUGGUUAGGCUAUUCGUGGUUCUGCCCUAGAAGGUCCUUCGUCGAGGCCCUAUGAUGUAUAAUAUUCCCCCCAUUCCAUACUGUAGUCGCCUAUACUUUUCGAGAUUCAACUUUAACAAUAAUACAUAAAUCGUUUUACUGAUUUUUUUAUGGUCAAAGUUAAAUCUUCAAAAGCAUGGACGCACUACAUUAUGAAAUAGAGGGAGUAUCUCAUUCAACUAUUUAAUUAUGGCAGCAACAAGCUUUGUAUGAAUUUAUUUAUUUUGUGGUCAUUAACAUGCUCAGUUGAUCUGGAAGUAAAGAAGGAGGGAUUUUCAUAUUAGAGUGACCUCAUCUAUAAAUCACAAAAUAAGAGGUGUUGUCGACCUGACAAUUAUGAGCUGCCCUACUCCUCCAACGAAUCAUAAAUUGAAGCAUGAACCCUGAUAGAUUCCACGUUUUGUAUGGAAUUGUUAGGCUGAUUCGCUAUAUCUCUCUCACGAGUUCUGAAUGCUAUCUCUCACAAGUUGACUUAAAAUUGUUUAACUGUCUUUGUGUGAACAAUACUGUGUUAACUGAACUUAACUGAAGUGAGUAGCAAAUGUUUGAUUCAGUCCUGGUUUGUUUCAUCUGGAACAAUUCUGGUAGCAUCUAUGAAACAGAUGCAAUCUGAAAUGUAGCAACUGUUUAAAUAAACACCAAGCAGUAAUCUGCAUAUGUUUGGUUCUGUUUAAGGAUUGUUUUUAUUAGUAACUUCAAACUGAAUUUAAUCCUGGAGCCAAAACACUGUGUUUGCUGGAGUAGUUGCCACUGCAUCAAAACCACAUGACAUAUGGUCGUGAGGUUUGGAAUAAACUAUCUCAUCUGGCUACUGUUCUUGUACAUGCUCUGUCCUCUUGCUGCUGUUUUUGUACAUGCUUUCCUUCCAAUAUGUACUGAGAGAAUAUAUUGUGACAUUCUUCAGUAUUCAGGCUUCUGAUAUCAGAAAUGGAACCCUUUCCUUCCAAUCAGUUGAGCCUCAGCGAUGUUUGUCAUUCAGUUCUGAUGGUACUAGUAAGUUUGCUAUUGGUGGUGAGGUAUCAGGCCAUUCCACCUUGCUUUUUCUUUUUCUUCAUGCACUUUUUUCUGUAGGGUAAGUUAAUGUAAAUUCAAGGAUAAUUUAUGAAAUGUUAUAAUCUGCCGAACUUUUAAUUUGGAGUACACAGGAUUUGGAUACUGUCAACAAUAUAGAGCAUGAAAUGUUCACUUUUUUUGCUCUCUAAAUUGUGUGUCAUUAUUUUGUUUGCACCUGUUCUUAUAUGGGUGAAACUUCACUUGUUCUUAUAUGGAUGAAACUUCAAUUCUAUAGGAGAGUAGUAAACAUUUGGUAUAUCUACAUAAUCUGUUGGAUGCCAAAUGGAUUUCUGCCCAUUAAUUCAUACUCCUAUUUCUGCCCAUGGAUUUAUUGUCAUUCUCUGUCAGGUCAUCUAAGGCCUUGAUAGACCAAAUUUUGAGAUUCAAAUAAAUUCAAAGGCCUUGACUAAAUUAUUCAGAUUAAUGCAAAUAAAUUCAAACAAUUUCAAUAAAUUAAAAUAAUUCCAAAUAAAUUCAAAUAAUCCAAAUAAUUCCAAAUAAAUUCAAACCUGAACAUUUUCAGUUAGUGGCUCAAAACUGUUCCACUAGAGGAGUAGACAUUUAACUUAAUCAAUCUACCAUCUAAACAAAUACUCCUAUUAAUUCCACUAGAGGACUAGACAUUUAACAUAAGGUAGUCUCAUUUUAAUUUAACUGUUUCUAUUUUAGUUGCAAUAGCCCAUUAGAGUAACUUUUCAUUUCUGAAACUUUCAGCCUCAAAUUGCAGAUCUCCUGGUGCAUCCCUUGAACAACAAAACAUGCAAAAGGCUGGGAGGUCUGAACUCUAGCCUAUCCUUUUUGUGACAUUUUGGUGACUACGCAAAACGUAGUAAUCAACUCUUAUUGCUUUUUGUAGAGGGCCAUCUUGAAGCAUCUAUGCAAUUCAGCUGGAGGACCAUAGAUGAUGAUCAGGUGAGAGUCCAUAAUCUAUGCCCUAAUAAUUUCGAUUGCCAAAAUCUUUGUCUGAUUGAAUGUUUCCAAAAUUAACACGAUUGAAUGUUUCCAAAAUUAACAAAACCUUGCCAUUUCUUGAUUGAAUGUUUCCAUAAUUAACAUGAUUGCAUGUUUUCAAAAUUAACAAAAUCUUGCCAUAUCCUGAUUGAAUGUUUCCAAAUUAACAUUUCCAAUUUUGCAGGAGUACGUACCUAGCAGCAGCAGCAAAGGCGGGACAAAGGAGGCCGGCCAGAGGCGAGGCGAGUUCGUGUGGUCAAAGUAGAAAGACCAGCUGCAGGUGGUCGAAGCAGCAAUAGUAGGUGUCGACGGCGGGGGCAGCAGCAGUAGUAGGCGUCGGCGGCGAGGAAGGAGCUGGCGGGGAAGGACUACCUCAUCAACAGAGCCGGCGGGGAAGGACUACCUCAUCAGCAGAGCCGGCGGGGAAGGAGAGACUGGGCCGGCGAUUGGAGUCUCCCAGCAGCAAAGACGGAGCACGGGGAAGGAUCGCGGCGGAAUCAUGGAGGUUGGCGGCAGUGCAGGUGCAGGUGGGUGACGUCGCAGUGGCUGGUCGCGCACCGGACACCACAUCUCCAACGUCACUCUGAUACGUCUCCUUCGUAUCUACUUUUCCUAAUGCUUUUCCUCUUGUUUCGGACUCUAAUUUGCAUGAUUUGAAUGAAACUAACCCGGACUGACGCUGUUUUCAACAGAACUACCUUGGCGUUGUUUUUUGUGCAGAAAUAAAAGUUCUCGGAAUGGAACAAAACUUUUUGGAUAACUGUUUCAGAAUAUGUAAAAAAUACUGGCACGAAGAACCACCGGAGGGGGGCCCUGGCUGGGCACAAGACACCAGGGCGUGCCCCCCUCUGGCGCGCCCUGGUGGGUUGUGCCCACCUGGUGGUUUCACAUACCCUAAUUCCGACGCAAUAAAACCUAUUUUCGGAGAAAAAAAAUCAGUGAGGACGUUUCAUCGCGUUUCACGAUACGGAGCCGCCGCCACCUCCUGUUCUUCAUCGGGAGGCCAGAUCUGGAGUCCGUUCAGGGCUCCGGAGAGGGGGAUCUUUGACCUUCGUCAUCACCAACCCUCCUUCAUCGCCAAUUCCAUGAUACUCCCCAUCGGAAGUGAGUAACUCCUUCAUAGGAUCACUGGUCAGUGAGGAGUUGGAUGAGAUUCAUCAUGUAAUCGAGUUAGUUUUGUUAGGGCUUGAUCCCCAGUAUCCAUUAUGUUCUGAGAUUGAUGUUGUUACAAUUUUGCCAUGCUUAAUGCUUGUCACUUUGAGUCCGGGUGCCUUGAUUUCAGAUCUGAACCAUUUAUGUUUUCAUCAUUAUAUCUAUGUUCUAGAUCCGAUCUUGCAAGUCAUAUUCACCUAUUACGUCUUAUGAUCCGUAAACCCCAAUGUGACAGUAAUUGGGAUACUUUCCGGUGAUGACCGUAGUUUGAGGAGUUCAUGUAUUUACUAUGUGUUAAUACUUUGUUUCGGUUCUCUAUUGUAAGGAGGCCUUAAUAUCCCUUAGUUUCCUUAUGGACCCCGCUGUCACGGGAGGGUAGGACAAAAGAUGUCAUACAAGUUCUUUCCAUAAGCACGUAUGACUAUUUACGGAAUACAUGCCUACAUUAUAUUUAUGAACUGGAGCUAGAGCCGUAUCGCCCUAGGUUAUGACUUUUAUAUGAUGAAUAUCAUCCAACGAAUCCACCGAUCCAAUGCCUAUGAAUUUUCCACAUAUUGUUCUUGCUAAGUUACUACUGUUGCUAUUACUGUUACACUUGCUACAAAAUCAUUGCUAUCACUGUUUUGCUGCAGAUAUUUAAUCUCCAGGCGUGGUUGAAUUGACAACUCAACUGCUAAUACUUACAAAUAUUCUUUGGCUCCCCUUGUGUCAUAAAUUUGGGAUGAAUACUCUACCCUCGAAAACUGUUGCAAUCCACUAUACUUGUGGGCUAUCAAGACCUUUUUCUGGCGCCGUUGCCGGGGAUCAUAGCUAUAUUUGUUGAGUCACUUGGGAUUAUCAUCUAUUUAUCACUAUGAAGAAUCUGAAGGAUACCAAGACUAAUAUUUUUUCCUCUAAGACGAGGGAGGUAAGGAACUGCCAUCUAGCUCUGCACUUGAUUCACCUUCUAUUUUGAGUAAACUUGCAACACGACCACAUGCUAUUAAUGCUGAUAUGUCGCAAGUUAUUGAUGAUUCUACUUCUGCUAUUAAUGAUACUCAUGAUGAUGCUAGUACCAUUCUUGAUGAUAAUGUGCCGCUAGGUGAAUUUAUUGAUGAACAACUUGCUAGAGCCAAAGAUAUUGAGAAUGCUGAAACUGAUGAAGUACUUGAAAUUGAAAAUCUUGAAACACCGAUUAGACCUAGCUCUCCUAGAUAUGAAAUGCCUAAGGUACCCGAAGGUUAUGUUAUGGAUGAGGAAAUAGCUAGAGACUUUCUUACUUGCAAUGAUAGAGAUGAUCUUAAAAAAUUAUUAUGCAAACUGAAAGAAAAAUUUUUGAAUGCUAGAAUGAAAUGUGAUCCUAAGUUUGCUACUUCACCUAUCUUUGUUAUUGAUAAGGAUUACGAAUUCUCUGUCGACCCAGAGUUAAUUACUUUGGUUGAAUCUAAUCCUUUCCAUGGUUAUGAAACUGAACUAUUGUGGCACACCUUACUAAGUUAAAUGAUAUAGCCACCCUAUUUGCUCAUGAUGAGAAAAUUCGCUACUAUUAUAUCCUCAAAUUAUCUCCGUUCUCAUUAAAGGGUGAUGCUAAGAUAUGGUACAAUACUCUUGCUCCUGGUUGUGUGCGUAUUCCCCAGGAUAUGAUUUACUAUUUCUCUGAAAAAUAUUUUCCUGCUCAUAAGAAACAAGGUGCCUUAUAGGAAGUAUUUAACUUUGUGCAAAUUGAAGAAGAUAGUCUCCCACAAGCUUGGGGGAGGCUUCUCCAAUUGCUUAAUGCUUUGCCUGAUCAUCCUCUUAAAAAAUGAAAUACUUGAUACCUUCUAUAAUGGACUAACCGAUGCUUCUAGGGAUUUCCUAGAUAGUUGUGCUGGUUGUGUUUUUAGGGAACGAAGUAUUGAACAAGCUGAGGAAUUACGGAAUAACAUAUUGAAAAAUUAUGAUGAUUGGACUCUUCCUGAACCACCGCCUAAACCCACUCUGAAGAAGAGGGGUAUCUUAUAUCUCAGUCCUGAAGAUAUGCAAGAGGCAAAGAAAGGUAUGAAGGAAAAAGGUAUUAAAGCAGAGGAUGUUAAAAAUUUACCGCCUAUUGAAGAAAUACAUGGACUUGAUACGCCACCACCAAAGGUGGUAGAGGUAAACUCUUUAACGAAAUUUGAUGAAAGUGACAUCCCUUACAAUAUGCAUCCUAGUCAAUGCCUUUAUGAGUUCGAUAACUAUAUUAGAAAAUAAGAUCACUUCAAUGAGAAUGUUAUGAAACAAUUAAAAUACAACUCUCAUAUGAUUGCUCACUUGAGUAACAUAUUAUUUAGAAUCACUAAUGAUGCUAGAGGUGUAAGAAAACAUGCCUCUAUGGUUCAAGCCCAGCUAGAACAAGUUGCUAAAUCCCAAAGAGAAUUGCUUGAUGAAAUGAAUAAUAAUAUGAAUGACCAUGCUAUUAGAGUAGUAACUAGAGGAGGUAGAAUGACUCAGGAACCACUCUAUCCUGAGGGACGCCCUAAAAUAAUUGAACAAGACUCUCAAUUAAUUAAUACGGAUGCACCUAGUCCUUCUAAAAGGAAAAGGAAAAAGAAAAAUGAUAGGACUUUGCAUACCUCUGUUGGGGAACGUAGUAAUUUCAAAAAAUUUCCUACGCACACGCAAGAUCAUGGUGAUGCAUAGCGACGAGAGGGGAGAGUGUUGUCCACGUACCCUCGUAGACCGAAAGCGGAAGCGUUAGCACAACGCGGUUGAUGUAGUCGUACGUCUUCACGAUCCGAUCGAUCAAGUACCGAACGCACGGCACCUCCGAGUUCAGCACACGUUUAGCUCGAUGACCUCCCUCGAACUCCGAUCCAGCCGAGCUUUGAGCGUCAGCACGACGGCAUGGUGAUGAUGAUGAUGUUCUACCGACGCAGGGCUUCGCCUAAGCACCACUACGAUAUUAUCGAGGUGGAUUAUGGUGGAGGGGGGCACCGCACACGGCUAAGAGAUCAAUGAUCAAUUGUUGUGUGUUUGGGGUGCCCCCUGCCCCCGUAUAUAAAGGAGAAAGGGGAGGAGGCGGCCAGCCAGGGAGAGGUGCGCCAAGGGGGAGUCCUACUCCCACUAGGAGUAGGACUCCUAUUCCUAGUAGGAGUAGGAGAGGGGGAAGGAAAGGGAGAGGAGGAGAAGGAAAGAGGGGGCCGCCCCCCCUUGCCCGAAACCAAUUCGGUUUGGGCCUUGGGGGGGGGGGCGUCCCACACUCCCCUUGCUGCCCUCUAUUUCCACUACGGCCCAUGUAGGCCCAUUAAGCCCCCGGGGGGUUCCGGUAAUCCCCGGUACUCCGGUAAAAUCCCGAUUUCACCCGGAACACUUCCGAUAUCCAAAUAUAGGCUUCUAAUAUAUCAAUCUUUAUGUCUCGACCAUUUCGAGACUCCUCCUCAUGUCCGUGAUCACAUCCGGGACUCCGAACAACCUUCGGUACAUCAAAACUCAUAAACUCAUAACAUAACCGUCUCGAAACUUUAAGCGUGCAGACCCUACGGGUUUGAGAACUAUGUAGACAUGACCGAGACACGUCUCCGGUCAAUAACAAAUAGCGGAACCUGGAUGCUCAUAUUGGCUCCCACAUAUUCUACGAAGAUCUUUAUCGGUCAGACCGCAUAACAACAUACGUUGUUCCCUUUGUCAUCGGUAUGUUACUUGCCCGAGAUUCGAUCGUCGGUAUCUCAAUACCUAGUUCAAUCUCGUUACCGGCAAGUCUCUUUACUCGUUCCUUAAUACAUCAUCCCGCAACUAACUCAUUAGUCACAAUGCUUGCAAGGCUUAUAGUGAUGUGUAUUACUGAGUGGGCCCAGAGAUACCUCUCCGACAAUCGGAGUGACAAAUCCUAAUCUCGAAAUACGCCAACCCAACAAAUACCUUUGGAGACACCCGUAGAGCACCUUUAUAAUCACCCAGUUACGUUGUGACAUUUGGUAGCACACAAAGUGUUCCUCCGGUAAACAGGAGUUGCAUAAUCUCAUAGUCAUAGGAACAUGUAUAAGUCAUGAAGAAAGCAAUAGCAACAUACUAAAUGAUCGAGUGCUAAGCUAACGGAAUGGGUCAAGUCAAUCACAUCAUUCUCCUAAUGAUGUGGUCCCGUUAAUCAAAUGACAACUCAUGUCAAUGGCUAGGAAACAUAACCAUCUUUGAUUAACGAGCUAGUCAAGUAGAGGCAUACUAGUGACACUCUGUUUGUCUAUGUAUUCACACAAGUAUUAUGUUUUCGGUUAAUACAAUUCUAGCAUGAAUAAUAAACAUUUAUCAUGAUAUAAGGAAAUAAAUAAUAACUUUAUUAUUGCCUCUAGGGCAUAUUUCCUUCAGUCUCCCACUUGCACUAGAGUCAAUAAUCUAGAUUACACAGUAAUGAUUCUAACACCAAUGGAGCCUUGGUGCUGAUCAUGUUUUGCUCGUGGAAGAGGCUUAGUCAACGGGUCUGCAACAUUCAGAUCUGUAUGUAUCUUGCAAAUUUCUAUGUCUCCCACCUGGACUAGAUCCCGGAUGGAGUUGAAGCGUCUCUUGAUGUGCUUGGUUCUCUUGUGAAAUCUGGAUUACUUUGCCAAGGCAAUUGCACCAGUAUUGUCACAAAAGAUUUUCAUUGGACCCGAUGCACUAGGUAUGACACCUAGAUCGGAUAUGAACUCCUUCAUCCAGACUCCUUCAUUUGCUGCUUCCGAAGCAGCUAUGUACUCCGCUUCACACGUAGAUCCCACCACAAUGCUUUGUUUAGAACUGCACCAACUGACAGCUCCACCGUUCAAUGUAAACACGUAUCCGGUUUGCAAUUUAGAAUCGUCCGGAUCAGUGUCAAAGCUUGCAUCGACGUAACCAUUUACGACUAGCUCUUUGUCACCUCCAUAAACGAGAAACAUAUCCUUAGUCCUUUUCAGGUAUUUCAGGAUGUUCUUGACCGCUGUCCAGUGAUCCACUCCUGGAUUACUUUGGUACCUCCCUGCUAAACUUAUAGCAAGGCACACAUCAGGUCUGGUACACAGCAUUGCAUACAUGAUAGAGCCUAUGGCUGAAGCAUAGGGAACAUCUUUCAUUUUCUCUCUAUCUUCUGCAUUGGUCGGGCAUUGAGUCUUACUCAACUUCACACCUUGUAACACAGGCAAGAACCCUUUCUUUGCUUGAUCCAUUUUGAACUUCUUCAAAACUUUGUCAAGGUAUGUGCUUUGUGAAAGUCCAAUUAAGCGUCUUGAUCUAUCUCUAUAGAUCUUGAUGCCCAAUAUAUAAGCAGCUUCACCGAGGUCUUUCAUUGAAAAACUCUUAUUCAAGUAUCCCUUUAUGCUAUCCAGAAAUUCUAUAUCAUUUCCAAUCAGCAAUAUGUCAUCCACAUAUAAUAUCAGAAAUGCUACAGAGCUCCCACUCACUUUCUUGUAAAUACAGGCUUCUCCAAAAGUCUGUAUAAAACCAAAUGCUUUGAUCACACUAUCAAAACGUUUAUUCCAACUCCGAGAGGCUUGCACCAGUCCAUAAAUGGAUCGCUGGAGCUUGCACACUUUGUUAGCUCCCUUUGGAUCGACAAAACCUUCCGGUUGCAUCAUAUACAACUCUUCUUCCAGAAAUCCAUUUAGGAAUGCAGUUUUGACAUCCAUUUGCCAAAUUUCAUAAUCAUAAAAUGCGGCAAUUGCUAACAUGAUUCGGACAGACUUAAGCAUCGCUACGGGUGAGAAAGUCUCAUCGUAGUCAAUCCCUUGAACUUGUCGAAAACCUUUCGCAACGAGCUUUACAGACAGUAACAUUACCGUCAGCGUCAGUCUUCUUCUUGAAGAUCCAUUUAUUCUCAAUGGCUUGCCGAUCAUCGGGCAAGUCAACCAAAGUCCACACUUUGUUCUCAUACAUGGAUCCCAUCUCAGAUUUCAUGGCCUCAAGCCAUUUUGCAGAAUCUGGGCUCACCAUCGCUUCUUCAUAGUUCGUAGGUUCGUCAUGGUCUAGUAACAUAACCUCCAGAACAGGAUUACCGUACCACUCUGGUGCGGAUCUUACUCUGGUUGACCUACGAGGUUCAGUAACAACUUGAUCUGAAGUUUCAUGAUCAUCAUCAUUAACUUCCUCACUAAUUGGUGUAGGUGUCACAGGAACCGGUUUCUGCGAUGAACUACUUUCCAAUAAGGGAGCAGGUACAGUUACCUCAUCAAGUUCUACUUUCCUCCCACUCACUUCUUUCAAGAGAAACUCCUUCUCUAGAAAGGAUCCAAAUUUAGCAACAAAAGUCUUGCCUUCAGAUCUGUGAUAGAAGGUGUACCCAACAGUUUCCUUUGGGUAUCCUAUGGAGACACAUUUCUCCGAUUUGGGUUCGAGCUUAUCAGGUUGAAGCUUUUUCACAUAAGCAUCGUAGCCCCAAACUUUAAGAAACGACAACUUUGGUUUCUUGCCAAACCACAGUUCAUAAGGCGUCAUCUCAACGGAUUUCGAUGGUGCCCUAUUUAACGUGAAUGCAGUCGUCUCUAAAGCAUAACCCCAAAACGAUAGCGGUAAAUCAGUAAGAGACAUCAUAGAUCGCACCAUAUCUAGUAAAGUACGAUUACGACGUUCGGACACACCAUUACGCUGUGGUGUUCCGGGUGGCGUGAGUUGCGAAACUAUUCUGCAUUGUUUCAAAUGAAGACCAAACUCGUAACUCAAAUAUUCUCCUCCACGAUCAGAUCGUAGAAACUUUAUUUUCUUGUUACGAUGAUUUUCAACUUCACUCUGAAAUUCCUUGAACUUUUCAAAUGUUUCAUACUUAUGUUUCAUUAAGUAGAUAUACCCAUAUCUUCUCAAAUCAUCUGUGAAGGUGAGAAAAUAACGAUACCCGCCGCGAGCCUCAACAUUCAUCGGACCACAUACAUCUGUAUGUAUGAUUUCCAACAAAUCUUUUCCUCACUCCAUAGUUCCGGAGAACGGCAUUUUAGUCAUCUUGCCCAUGAGGCACGGUUCGCAAGUACCAAGUGAUUCAUAAUCAAGUGGUUCCAAAAGUCCAUCAGUAUGGAGUUUCUUCAUGCGCUUUACACCAAUAUGACCUAAACGGCAGUGCCACAAAUAAGUUGCACUAUCAUUAUCAACUCUGCAUCUUUUGGUUUCAAUAUUAUGAAUAGGGACAAUUCCAUUUCUCCCCCUAACUUGAGCCACCACCUGGGAUUUCCCCUAGUUUUCAGGUAUGCUAAAAAAUACCCCUCUUCCAUCUGUGGCCCUUACAGAAAUCCCCCUCCGGGCCGUUUCCGUCGGGUCAAUGGUCUUUGACCGGUAACUGGGCGUCUGUUGGACAUUUUGCCCCUGGUUCUUACAUGUGGGCCCGUAUCAAAACGUUAUCCACUCGCUCACUCUGUUUCUUCUACCUCGCGACCACACACAGACUGGAGCAAGGUGAUUCACCGGCGGCACACGAACGGCAUCGUUCUGGAGAUCGGGCAGUGAGGCCGCGUGGAUGUGCACCUCACGCAUGUUGUCCGCAAGCUCUUCUGUCGCCGUGGAGGUAAGUUAUUCUUCUCUGAUUUGUGUGCGCCCGCGGAUUUCUCAUUAGGGUUUGAGCUAAAAUUGAGGAUUUUCUCUCUCGUAGGUCGAUGGGGUCGGCAUAGUGCAGUUCUCCUCCGAGUUCUGCAUGCCGGAUCCGAGUUAUUGCGGCCUUGAGAAGCUUUCCAAGCAUUGGUGCCCGGGGCACGGGCUCGUUCCCGCUCGCCGUGUCGCCUGGGGAGGAGCAAGCACGGGGAGACGUUUUCUUGGAUGCCCACUUGAUGUAAUUUGGUGGAUUGUAUCUGCUUUGCAACAAAUUGGUGCCAAGAUCGCAUUUUGACGAUAUUUUUUAUGUUGCAGCUUCCUGAUGAAUGUGAAUGGGCUGUGUGGGUUGACCCUCCUCCUCCAGAUCUUGUAGGGCGUGCAUUUGAGACACUACAUGAUGGACUAGAAGCAAGUUGGCUCAAAGCUCAUCGUUUAGAGAACAGGGUGACACAUCUCAGAGAGAAAAAGAAGAAGUUAAAGUUACAGUUGCAGAAGAAGCAUGAUCAGAUUGAAACAUGGGCAUUUUUGAUGAUAAUUGUUGGCAUAUGCAUUCUAUCAUAUUUGUUUGGUUCAAAGAAUGCCUAUUAGUCAGUGAGAACAAGCUAGUUUGGCACUGAGUAGAAAUUAGCUUGAUGUUGUGAACUUUUUCAUGAUGUGCGUAGUUCCUGGUUGUGUAACUUUGAUGCUAUGCAUCUUUUCGAAAGACAAAGCAAUUGAAAAGCAUCAGUUGGAUCUUGUGAUCUCUCUCUGUCUUAUUGUUUUUGUUUGUACCUCUCCAAUCCAUGUUACUCAUCGAUCAAAUGGUCCCAACGAAACAUGAUCGACAUCCAUUUGAGCGACAAGUAAUACGUGCCGGAGGAAGUGGUUGACAACAUCAAUGAUCAAUGAUACUGCAUCAUUGUGGUCACUCAAGAUACCAACAAUGUAUAAUAGGAUCAACAUCAAUGAUGAACAACAUCAAGUUAUGACCAGGAUCAAUUCCAAAUAAUACCAACAAAAUGCCAACAUCGACAACAAGGUAUGACAACAGUAACAUGAGACAACAUGAUCCAUUACAUAGAUUCACACAGCAACAUGAGACAACAUGAUCCAUUACAUAGGUUCACACAACAUGAGACAACAUGAUCCAUUACAUAGUUCACACAGCAACAUCAACUAAAUAGUUCAAACAAACAGAUGGUUCAAAGCUUCACAGCAAGUUUCCCCUCUUGCUCCUAGUGUUGCAUGCAGGAUUAGAAGAGAGCCUGGACUUGCUCCUAGUGCUCCUAGCAUCAGCUGGCACCUUCUUAGGAGAGGCAGACCUGCUAAGCUGGUUGCUUCCAGUUACAGAACCACCAGUCGUGAGCGUAUCGCCUUUCGACUUCUUCUUUGGUGAAAGAGGGUUGUCACCUCUAUCUGCUGGCCUUUUGUAAUUUUUCCUUGGGCUGAAAAGUAACAACACAAGCUUUUAUUAGUUAAUAAUGAAGUAAUUUGUUAGAUAAAUCAAUUAGUUGUAGUUAUAAUAGCAGGUUACCUCAUAGUAGUUCCUGCAGCACUUGCUACAGUUGGUGCAUCAGUUACAGGAACUGGUGCAUCAGUUACAGGAACUGGUGCAUCAUCUUCAAGAUCUGCUUGUGCUUCUGUUUCUUCUACUGCAUCAUCCUCAUUUGUUGCUGCAGGUUCAUCUGUAUCAAAUAGUACAUCAUUGUGUUCAGGUGCAUUGUCAGCACCCCAGUGCUCAUCCUCUUCUCCAAAAGUUGGGUCAAUUAACUCUUUGCACUUGUUGCCAUGGUGACCAAGUCUGCCACAUCUAGGGCAUUUCUUUCUCCUGCCCCCAAGUCCUUUUCCUUCUGACUUUUCCCUAAUCCUGGUCUUUCUAGGUCUACCAGGGGGCCUGUUUUGAACUGGAGCACACAGUUUGAACCCAGGAUCAACUACAUCCCAUUGUUGUUUCCCCUCCAUUGCAGGCAAGUUUUCAACAUAUGUUGCAUUGAACAUUUGUACUGAGUAAUAUGGGUGCACAUACUGGUCAAUCUCACUGGCUGGACCUCUCAUUGAUGUAAUGAAGUAUAGUGCAUGUAUGCAAGGUUGUCCUGUAAUUUGCCACUUUCUGCAGCUACAAGUGUUAGCUUUCAAGUCUACAGGAUAUCUCCGCUCCCUCUUUUCUCUGUCAACUGUAGUGACCUCUGCCUCAUGUGUACUUCUUUUCACUACAGUCAUGUCCAACCCCUUUGAUUUUGCAAGCAACAUUUUCAUAACUUUUGGAAUUAUUACAUGACCAACAUAUGUUGCUGCAGCAAUGCUUUGCCUAAUGUCAAAUUUCUCCAUUAUGUAUUGUCUUAUUCUGUCAAGCAGAUCAACAAUGUGUAGCCCUUUCCACUUUCUAAUCUUUGAAUUAAAAGACUCUGCAAGAUUAUUGUUAACAUAAUCUAGCUUGCAAGUUUCAUUGAAAAGAGCCCUUGCCCAUAACUUAGUGUGGUGCUCCUCUAUGUACUAUUGCACACCUUGCUUGCUGUACAACUGAGUGAGAUGGUACUUGUGCUUUUUCAAGCUGUAGGUCAAAGAACAGGGCCACAAGUUCUCAUCAAAGAAUUUUCCUCUAAACUUUUUACUAAAAUUAGCUGCAAGAUGCCUCAUGCAUUCCCUGUGCUCUACACCUGGGAACACAUCUUCUACAACUGACUCAAGUCCCUUGCAGGCAUCAGUGUGAAUAACCAAUCCUUCUGGAUGGCCUAUUAGGUCUUUCAAGUUCUGGAAAAACCAAGUCCAACUCUCAAUGUUCUCUGUCUCUAGCACUCCAUAUGCAACUGGAAAGAUCCAGUUACAUGCAUCUACAGCACAAGCACUAACAAGCUGUCCUCUAUACCUUCCAUUUAAUGCUGUUGCAUCUACUGCUAGAUAUGGUCUACAGCCAACUAGAAAACCUUGCCAAGAGGCCUUAAAUGAUACAAAAACUCUCCUAAAGCACUCUUUGUACCUUUUCUGUCCAUUGAGUUUAAACUCUACAGUGUGUCUAUCAAUAUUAACCACACUACCAGAGAUGCCUUUUCUACUUCAGCUUUGAAAGUAUACAAGAGUUGGAAUGAAUCAGUCCAUUUACCAUAGAUGUUAUCCAGUGCCAUUUGCUUACCAUAAAAAACUCUCAUGUAAGGGAGCUGCACCCCAUACUUCUUUUUCAAGUCUGUCUGCAGAGUUGGCACUGAAAUAUUUGAGUUCUCCCUCACCCAGUUCUUCACAGCAUCUGCCACCCACCUACUCUUUGCAGACCUGAGCCUUUGCCUCCUUGUAACACUUGGGCAUAUGUGAGCUGUCUUGUUCACUUUAACCUGCAACAAGUAAUAGUCAGCAACAGUCCAUACAAUUAUGAAUGCAUAGUUAUUACUAAGGAAAGUUAUUAUUUACACUAACUACAUUAGUCCUACAGUGUAUUACCUGAAAAAGUGUGCUAUUUCUCAUUCUGGAGGCAUGCAUCCUCCACUUACACCUUUUGUAAGCACAGUGAACAAUUAGUCUACUGGGCUCACUCUUGUCAAUUAUAAAUUCACUCUGGGUCUUGAUUGAAAAGGUGGCAAGUGCAUUCCUACAAUCUAUGACAUCUGAAAAUAUAGUUCCUUCUGCUAAAGAAGGAUCAUCUCUGUUAUACUGCACAUCAGGCCUACCCUCAUCCUCUGUCUCAGAAUAUCCCAUGUCCCCGUCCUCCUCUCUUUCAUCAGAGUCUGUCUCCUCAAAUUGUGAGGGUGGAAUGUAAUCUUCACCAUCAUCCUCAUUAGGUGGUUUCCUAACAACAAACUCUGGGUGCAUUCUUUCAUCCUCAUCGUCUGUGGGCACUUCAUCAGGAAAUUCCUCUUCUAUGAUUGGGUCUGUUGUUGCUUUGCUAUACUCAGGACACGGUUGACUAGGCAAGUUGGCACUUGGGGUUCCUGGUUGCUGUACUGUGCUGUGAGUUCCGUUUCCUCUUCUAGCCUGACUGCUAUCAGGCUCUGAAGUUGUAGCUGCUGAUUUCCUUCCUCUAGAUUCACACCUUUGAGACUGUGAACUAGUAGCUGCUGCUUUCCUUCUACUAGUUUGAUUGCUUCUAGGCUGUGAAGGAUUGGGUGCAGAUCUUGCUACUCUGCUCUCUGUUUCCCCUCUUUUCCUUUGUAUGACAUUAAUUUCCAGCUGCACUGAAUUGCUCUCAGCAUUUGUGGCAAACAUAACCCCUAACUCAUCAUCAUUUUGAAUUGGCACCCAUACAGUAUUCUGCAUGUCCCAAUAUCUAAAUUCUACAACAUCAAAAAUACCCCAUGGCUAUUUAUCACUUAUAACACCUCUAAAUUGGACAAAUGUUGAUGUUUUGUCCACCACUAAAGGAAAUGUGAAGCCUGUACCGGCUCCUUUUGUGCCACCAUUGCCUAUGAUAGUGGUCUCCAUUCUACAGUUGAGACGAAAAUCUCUCUCUGGUUUCAUCCUACGAUAAAAGCAUGUAGUAACCACUAAGAGCGCAUUCAAUCGGGGUAAAUCUAUGUACAGUAACAGAACACAGAUCCAGGUCAAGAUUCAAAGAAACUUGGGAGAAGAAACUUACCCUGCUGGAUUUUGCAUUCCCGUCGUCUGCGUCGUCUGCCUGGAUGCUUCUUUGGCACCACCACAAUCACCGGCAGCCGCCAUCGUCGACACCGCCUCCUUUAGCGCUGUAGCAGAGGGAAAUAGACGGUGGAUAAUCACCUCCACUCCCACCGCAUCCCGACGACCGCAGUCCUACAGAUCCGCCGCAGCUACUGGACCGCCGGUGAGGGAUUUAGGGUGACCUAGGUUUAGGGUUUCGGUCGCCAAGAGGGGAACGAGAGAAGAGGUGCUUCGCGAGGUAGAAGAGAGAGUGAGCGAGUGGAUAACGUUUUGAUACGGGCCCACUGAAGGAAAUAUGCCCUAGAGGCAAUAAUAAAGUAUUAUAUAUUUCCUUAUAUCAUGAUAAAUGUUUAUUAUUCAUCCUAGAAUUGUAUUAACCGGAAACAUAAUACAUGUGUGAAUACAUAGACAAACAGAGUGUCACUAGUAUGCCUCUACUUGACUAGCUCGUUAAUCAAAGAUGGUUAUGUUUCCUAGCCAUAGACAUGAGUUGUCAUUUGAUUAACGGGAUCACCUCAUUAGGAGAAUGACGUGAUUGACUUGACCGAUUCCGUUAGCUUAGCACCCGAUCGUUUAGUAUGUUGCUAUUGCUUUCUUCAUGACUUAUACAUGUUCCUAUGACUAUGAGAUUAUGCAACUCCCGUUUACCGGAGGAACACUUUGUGUGCUACCAAACGUCACAACGUAAAUGGGUGAUUAUAAAGGUGCUCUACAGGUGUCUCCAAAGGUACUUGUUGGGUUGGCGUAUUUCGAGAUUAGGAUUUGUCACUCCGAUUGUCGGAGAGGUAUCUCUGGGCCCACUCGGUAAUGCACAUCACUAUAAGCCUUGCAAGCAUUGUGACUAAUGAGUUAGUUGCGGGAUGAUGUAUUACGGAACGAGUAAAGAGACUUGCUGGUAACGAGAUUGAACUAGGUAUCGAGAUACCGACGAUCAAAUCUCGGGCAAGUAACAUACCGGUGACAAAGGGAACAACGUAUGUUGUUAUGCGGUCUGACCGAUAAAGAUCUUCGUAGAAUAUGUGGGAGCCAAUAUGGGCAUCCAGGUCCCGCUAUUGGUUAUUGACCGGAGACGUGUCUCAGUCAUGUCUACAUAGUUCUCGAACCCGUAGGGUCCGCACGCUUAAAAUUACGAUGACAGUUUUAUUAUGAGUUUAUGUAUGUUGAUGUACCGAAGGAGUUCGGAGUCCCGGAUGAGAUCGGGGACAUGACGAGGAGUCUCGAAAUGGUCGAGACGUAAAGAUCGAUAUAUUGGACGACUAUAUUCGGACUUCGAAAAGGUUCCGAGUGAUUCGGGUAUUUUUCGGAGUACCGGAGAGUUACGGGAAUACGUAUUGGGCCUUAUUGGGCCAUACGGGAAAGAAGGAAAAGGGCCUCAAGGGUGGCCGCACCCCUCCCCUUGGUCUGGUCCGAAUUGGACUAGGGAAGGGGGGUGCCCCUUCCUUCCUUCUCUUUUUCCCUUCCUCUUUUCCUAUUCCAUAUGGGAGGUGGAAUCCUACUAGGACUAGGGAGUCCUAGUAGGACUCCACACUUGGUGCGCCCCCUCCUAGGGCCGGCCUCCUCCUCCCUUGCUCCUUUAUAUACGGGGGCAGGGGGGCACCCCAGAGACAACAAUUGAUCCUUGAGAUCUCUUAGCCAUGUGCGGUGCCCCCCUCCACCAUAUUACACCUCGAUAAUACCGUUGCAGAGCUUAAGCGAAGCCCUGCGUCGGUGGAACAUCAUCAUCGUCACCACGCCGUCGUGCUGACGAAACUCUCCCUCAACACUCGGCUGGAUCGGAGUUCGAGGGACGUCAUCGAGCUGAACGUGUGUAGAACUCGGAGGUGCCGUGCGUUCGGUACUUGAUCGGUCGGAUCGUGAAGACGUAUGACUACAUCAACCGCGUUGUGAUAACGCUUCCGCUGUCGGUCUACGAGGGUACGUGGACAACACUCUCCCCUCUCGUUGCUAUGCAUCACCAUGAUCUUGCGUGUGCGUAGGAUUUUUUUUGAAAUUACUACGUUCCCCAACAGUGGCAUCCGAGCCUGGUUUUAUGCGUUAAUGCUAUGCACGAGUAGAACACAAGUGAGUUGUUGGCGAUAUAAGUCAUACUGCUUACCAGCAUGUCAUACUUUGGUUCAGCGGUAUUGUGAGAUGAAGCGGCCCGGACCGACGUUACGCGUACGCUUACGCGAGACUGGUUUCACCGUUUGGAGCACUCGUUGCUUAAAGGUGACUGGCGGGUGUCUGUCUCUCUCACUUUAGUUGAACCGAGUGUGGCUACGCCCGGUCCUUGUGAAGGUUAAAACAGCACCAACUUGACAAACUAUCGUUGUGGUUUUGAUGCGUAGGUAAGAACGGUUCUUGCUAAGCCCGUAGCAGCCACGUAAAACUUGCAACAACAAAGUAGAGGACGUCUAACUUGUUUUUGCAGGGCAUGUUGUGAUGUGAUAUGGUCAAGACAUGAUGUGAUAUAAUGUGUUGUAUGAGAUGAUCAUGUUUUGUAACCGAGUUAUCGGCAACUGGAAGGAGCCAUAUGGUUGUCGCUUUAUUGUAUGAGAUGCAAUCACCAUGUAAUAGUUUUACUUUAUCACUAAACGGCAGCGAUAGUCGUAAAAGCAAUAAGUUGGCGAGACGACAACGAUGCUACGAUGGAGAUCAAGGUGUCGCGCCGGUGACGAUGGUGAUCAUGACGGUGCUUCGGAGAUGGAGAUCACGAGCACGGUGCUUCGGAGAUGGAGAUCACAAGCACAAGAUGAUGAUGGCCAUAUCAUAUCACUUAUAUUGAUUGCAUGUGAUGUUAAUCCUUUAUGCAUCUUAUCUUGCUUUGAUUGACGGUAGCAUUAUACGAUGAUCUCUCACUAAAAUUUCAAGAUAAAAGUGUUCUCCCUGAGUAUGCACCGUUGCAAAAGUUCUUCGUGCUGAGACACCACGUGUUAAUCGGGUGUGAUAGGCUCUACGUUCAAAUACAACGGGUGCAAAACAGUUGCACACGCGGAAUACUCAGGUUAAACUUGACGAGCCUAGCAUAUACAGAUAUGGCCUCGGAACACAGAGACCGAAAGGUCGAGCGUGAAUCAUAUAGUAGAUAUGAUCAACAUAGUGAUGUUCACCAUUGAAACUACUCCAUCUCACGUGUUAAUCGGACAUGGUUUAGUUGCUUUGGAUCACGUAAUCACUUAGAUGAUUAGAGGGAUGUCUAUCUAAGUGGGAGUUCUUAAGUAAUAUGAUUAAUUGAACUUAAAUUUAUCAUGAACUUAGUCCUGAUAGUAUUUUGCAAAUUAUGUUGUAGAUCAAUAGCUCGCGUUGUUGCUUCCCUGUGUUUAUUUUUGAUAUGUUCCUAGAGAAAAAUUAUGUUGAAAAAUGUUAGUAGCAAAGAUGCGGAUUGGAUCCGUGAUCUGAGGAUUAUCCUCAUUGCUGCACAGAAAAAUUAUGUCCUUGAUGCACCGCUAGGUGACAGACCUAUUGCAGGAGCAGAUGCAGACGUUAUGAACGUUUGGCUAGCUCAAUAUGAUGACUACUUGAUAGUUUAGUGCACCAUGCUUAACGGCUUAGAAUCGGGACUUCAAAGACGUUUGAACGUCAUGGACCAUAUAAGAUGUUCCAGGAGUUGAAGUUAAUACUUCAAGCAAAUACACGAGUUGAGAGAUAUGAAGUCUCCAACAAGUUCUAUGGCUAAAAGAUGGAGGAGAAUCGCUCAACUAGUGAGCAUGUGCUCAGAUUGUCUGGGUACUACAAUCGCUUGAAUCAAGUGGGAGUUAAUCUUCCAGAUAAAAUAGUGAUUGACAGAAUUCUCUAGUCACCAUCACCAAGUUAGUAGAACUUUGUGAUGAACUAUAAUACGCAAGGGAUGACGAAAGUAAUUCCCGAGCUCUUCGUGAUGCUGAAAUCGACGAAGGUAGAAAUCAAGAAAAACGUCAAGUGUUGAUGGUUAACAAGACAACUAGUUUCAAGAAAAGGGCAAAGGGAAGAAGGGGAACUUCAAAAAGAAUGGCAAGCAAGUUGCUACUCAAGUGAAGAAGCCCAAGUCUGUACCUAAGCCUGAGACUAAGUGCUUCUACUGCAAAGGGACUGGUCACUGGAGGCGGAACUGCCCCAAGUACUUGGUGGAUAAGAAGGAUGGCAAAGUGAACAAAGGUAUAUUGGAUAUACAUGUUAUUGAUGUGUACUUACUAAUGUUUAUAGCAACCCCUCAGUAUUUGAUAGUGGUUCAGUUGCUAAAGAGUAGUAACUCGAAAACGGGAGUUGCAGAAUAAACAGAGACUAGUAAAAGGCGAGGUGACGAUGUGUGUUGGAAGUAGUUCCAAGAUUGAUAUGAUCAUCAUCGCACACUCCCUAUACUUUCGGGAUUAGUGUUGAAACUAAAUAAGUGUUAUUUGGUGUUUGCGUUGAGCAUGAAUAUGAUUUGAUCAUGUUUAUUGCAAUACGGUUAUUCAUUUAAGUUAGAGAACAAUUGUUGUUCUGUUUACAUGAAUAAAAACCUUUUAUGGUCAUACACACCAACGAAAAUGGUUUGUUGGAUCUCGAUCGUAGUGAUACACAUAUUCAUAAUAAUGAAGCCAAAAGAUGCAAAGUUAAUAAUGAUAGUGCAACUUAUUUGUGGCACUGCCGUUUAGGUCAUAUUGGUGUAAAGCGCAUGAAGAAACUCCAUACUGAUGGGAUUUUGGAAUCACUUGAUUAUGAAUCACUUGAUGCUUGCGAACCGUGCCUCAUGGGCAAGAUGACUAAAACGCCGUUCUCCGGAACUAUGGAGAGAGCAACAGAUUUGUUGGAAAUCAUACAUACAGAUGUAUGUGGUUCGAUGAAUAUUAAGGCUCGUAGCUGGUAUCAUUAUUUUCUGACCUUCACAGAUGAUUUGAGCAGAUAUGGGUAUAUCUGCUUGAUGAAACAUAAGUCUGAAACAUUUGAAAAGUUCAAAGAAUUUCAGAGUGAAGUGGAAAAUCAUCGUGACAAGAAAAUAAAGUUUCUAUGAUCUGAUCGUAGAGAAGAGUAUUUGAGUUACGAGUUUGGCCUUCAGUUAAAACAAUGUGAAAUAGUUUCACUACUCAUGCCACCUCGAACACCAUGGUGUAAUGGUGUGUCCGAACGUCGUAAUCGUACUUUAUUAGAUAUGGUGCGAUAUAUGAUGUAUCUUACCGAUCUACCACUAUCGUUUUGGGGUUAUGCAUUAAAGACAGCUGCAUUCACGUUAAAUAGGGCACCAUCAAAAUCCGUUGAGAUGACGCCUUAUGAACUGAGGUUUAGCAAGAAACCAAAGUUAUCGUUUCUUAAAAUUUGGGGUUGCAAUGCUUAUGUGAAGAAGUUUCAUCCUGAUAAGAUCAAACCCAAAUCGGAGAAAUGUGUCUUCAUAGGAUACCCAAAGGAGACAGUUGGGUACACCUUCUAUCACAGAUCCGAAGGCAAGACAUUUGUUGCUUAGUAUGGAUCCUUUCUAGAGAAGGAGUUUCUCUCGAAAGAAGUGAGUGGGAGGAAAGUAGAACUUGAUGAGGUAACUGUACCUGCUCCCUUAUUGGAAAGUAGUUCAUCACAGAAAUCUGUUCCUGUGACUCCUACACCAAUUAGUGAGGAAGUUAAUGAUGAUGAUCAUGUAACUUCAGAUCAAGUUACUACCAAACCUCGUAGGUAAACCAGAGUAAGAUCCGCACCAGAGUGGUACGGUAAUCCUGUUCUGGAGGUUAUGUUACUAGACCAUGACAAACCUACGAACUAUGAGGAAGCGAUGAUGAGCCCAGAUUCCGCAAAAUGGCUUGAGGCCAUGAAAUCUGAGAUGAGAUCCAUGUAUGAAGAACAAAGUAUGGACUUUGGUUGACUUUCCCAAUGAUCGGCGAGCCAUAGAAAAUAAAUGGAUCUUCAAGAGGAAGACGGACGCUGAUAGUAGUGUUACUAUCUACAAAGCUAGACUUGUCGGAAAAAGGUUUUUGACAAAGUUCAAGGUGUUGACUACGAUGAGAUUUUCUCACUCGCAGUGAUGCUUAAGUCUGUCCGAUCCAUGUUAGCAAUUGUCGCAUUUUAUGAAAUCUGGCAAAUGGAUAAACAAAACUGCAUUCCUUAAUGGAUUUAUUAAAGAAGAGUUGUAUAUGAUGCAACCAGAAGGUUUUGUCAAUCCUAAAGGUGCUAACAAAAUAUGCAAGCUCCAGCGAUCCAUCUAUGGACUGGUGCAAGCAUCUCAGAGUUGGAAUAUACACUUUGAUAAGUUGAUCAAAGGAUAUAGUUUUAUACAGACUUGCGGUGAAGCCUGUAUUUACAAGAAAGUGAGUGGGAGCACUACAACAUUUCUGAUAAGUAUAUGUGUAUGACAUAUUGUUGAUCGGAAAUAAUGUAGAAUUAUUCUGCAAAGCAUAAAGGAGUGUUUGAAAGGAGUUUUUCAAAGAAAGACCUCGGUAAAGCUGCUUACAUAUUGAGCAUCAAGAUCUAUAGAGAUAGAUCAAGACGCUUGAUAAGUUUUUUUCAAUGAGUACAUACCUUAACAAGAUUUUGAAGUAGUUCAAAAUAGAACAGUCAAAGGAAGAGUUCUUGCCUGUGUUACAAGGUGUGAAAUUGAGUAAGACUCAAAGCCCGACCACGACAGAAGAUAGAAAGAGAAUGAAAGUCAUUCCCUAUGCCUUGGCCAUAGGUUCUAUAAAGUAUGCCAUGCUGUGUACCAGAUCUAUUGUAUACCCUACACUGAUUUUGGCAAGGGAGUAUAAUAGUGAUCUAGGAGUAGAUCACUGGACAGCGGUCAAAAUUAUCCUUAGUGGAAUAAGGAAAUGUUUCUCGAUUAUGGAAGUGACAAAAGGUUCAUCGUAAAGGGUUACGUCGAUGCAAGUUUUGACACUAAAUCUAGAUGACUCUAAGUCUCGGUCUAGAUACAUAUUGAAAGUGGGAGCAAUUAGCUAGAGUAGCUCCGUGCAGAGCAUUGUAGACAUAGAAAUUUGCAAAAUACUUACGGAUCUGGAUGUGACAGACCCGUUGACUAAAAUUAUCUCACAAUCAAAACAUGAUCACACCUUAGUACUCUUUGGGUGUUAAUCACAUAGCGAUGUGAACUAGAUUAUUGACUCUAGUAAACCUUUUGAGUGUUGGUCACAUAGAGAUGUGAACUAUGGGUGUUAAUCACAUGGUGAUGUGAAUUAUUGAUGUUAAAUCACAUGGCGAUGUGAACUAGAUUAUUGACUCUAGUGCAAGUGGGAGACUGAAGGAAAUAUGCCCUAGAGGCAAUAAUAAAGUAGUAUAUAUUUCCUUAUAUCAUGAUAAAUGUUUAUUAUUCAUGCUAGACUUGUAUUAACCGGAAACAUAAUACAUGUGUGAAUACAUAGACAAACAGAGUGUCACUAGUAUGCCUCUACUUGACUAGCUCGUUAAUCAAAGAUGGUUAUGUUUCCUAGCCAUAGACAUGAGUUGUCAUUUGAUUAACGGGAUCACCUCAUUAGGAGAAUGACGUGAUUGACUUGACCCAUUCCGUUAGCUUAGCACCUGAUCGUUUAGUAUGUUGCUAUUGCUUUCUUCAUGACUUAUACAUGUUCCUAUGACUAUGAGAUUAUGCAACUCCCGUUUACCGGAGGAACACUUUGUGUGCUACCAAACGUCACAACAUAAAUGGGUGAUUAUAAAGGUGCUCUACAGGUGUCUCCAAAGGUACUUGUUGGGUUGGCGUAUUUCGAGAUUAGGAUUUGUCACUCCGAUUGUCGGAGAGGUAUCUCUGGGCCCACUCGGUAAUGCACAUCACUAUAAACCUUGCAAGCAUUGUGACUAAUGAGUUAGUUGCGGGAUGAUGUAUUACGGAACGAGUAAAGAGACUUGCCGGUAACGAGAUUGAACUAGGUAUCGAGAUACCGACGAUCAAAUCUCGGGCAAGUAACAUACCGGUGACAAAGGGAACAACGUAUGUUGUUAUGCGGUCUGACCGAUAAAGAUCUUCGUAGAAUAUGUGGGAGCCAAUAUGGGCAUCCAGGUCCCGCUAUUGGUUAUUGACCGGAGACGUGUCUCGGUCAUGUCUACAUAGUUCUCGAACCCGUAGGGUCCGCACGCUUAAAGUUACGAUGACAGUUUUAUUAUGAGUUUAUAUAUGUUGAUGUACCGAAGGAGUUCGGAGUCCCGGAUGAGAUCGGGGACAUGACGAGGAGUCUCGAGAUGGUCGAGACGUAAAGAUCGAUAUAUUGGACGACUAUAUUCGGACUUCGGAAAGGUUCCGAGUGAUUCGGGUAUUUUUCGGAGUACCGGAGAGUUACGGGAAUACGUAUUGGGCCUUAUUGGGCCAUACGGGAAAGAAGGAAAAGGGCCUCAAGGGUGGCCGCACCCCUCCCCUUGGUCUGGUCCGAAUUGGACUAGGGAAGGGGGGCGCCCCUUCCUUCCUUCUCUUUUUCCCUUCCUCUUUUCCUAUUCCAUAUGGGAGGUGGAAUCCUACUAGGACUAGGGAGUCCUAGUAGGACUCCACACUUGGUGCGCCCCCUCCUAGGGCCGGCCUCCUCCUCCCUUGCUCCUUUAUAUACGAGGGCAGGGGGGCACCCCAGAGACAACAAUUGAUCCUUGAGAUCUCUUAGCCGUGUGCGGUGCCCCCCUCCACCAUAUUACACCUCGAUAAUACCGUUGCGGAGCUUAAGCGAAGGCCUGCGUCGGUGGAACAUCAUCAUCGUCACCACGCCGUCGUGCUGUCGAAACUCUCCCUCAACACUCGGCUGGAUCGGAGUUCGAGGGACGUCAUCGAGCUGAACGUGUGUAGAACUCGGAGGUGCCGUGCGUUCGGUACUUGAUCGGUCGGAUCGUGAAGACGUACGACUACAUCAACCGCGUUGUGAUAACGCUUCCGCUGUCGGUCUACGAGGGUACGUGGACAACACUCUCCCCUCUCGUUGCUAUGCAUCACCAUGAUCUUGCGUGUGCUUAGGAAUUUUUUUGAAAUUACUACGUUCCCCAACACCCACAUGUAAGAACCAGGGGCCAAAAUGUCCAACAGACGCCCAGUUACUGGUCAAAGACCAUUGACCCGACGGAAACGACCCGGAGGGGGAUUUCUGUAAGGGCCACAGACGGAAGAGGGGUAUUUUUGAGCAUACCUGAAAACUAGGGGCAAAUCCCAGGUGGUGGCUCAAGUUAGGGGGAGAAGUAUAAUUAUCCCUUAUGAAUAUGUGUAUCACUACUAUCGAGAUUCAACAAAAAUAGACCACUCUUCAAGGGUGCAUGACCAUAAAAGAUAUUACUCAUAUAAAUAGAACAACCAUUAUUCUUUGAUUUAAAUGAAUAACCGUCUCGCAUCAAACAAGAUCCAGAUAUAAUGUUCAUGCUCAACGCUGGCACCAAAUAACAAUUAUUCAGGUCUAAAACUAAUCCCGAAGGUAGAUGUAGAGGUAGCGUGCCGAUUGCGAUUACAUCGACUUUGGAACCAUUUCCCACGUGCAUCGUCACCUCGUCCUUAGCCAAUCUUCGCUUAAUCCGUAGUCCCUAUUUCGAGUUGCAAAUAUUAGCAACAGAACCAGUAUCAAAUACCCAGGUGCUACUGCGAGCAUUAGUAAGGUACACAUCAAUAACAUGUAUAUCACAUAUACCUUUGUUCACCUUGCCAUCCUUCUUAUCCGCCAAAUACUUGGGGCAGUUCCGCUUCCAGUGACUAGUCUGUUUGCAGUAGAAGCACUCAGUCUCAGGCUUAGGUCCAGACUUGGGUUUCUUGUCCCGAGCAGCAACUUGUUUGCUGUUUUUCUUGAAGUUCCCCUUCUUCUUCCCUUUGCCCUUUUUCUUGAAACCGGCGGUCUUGUUAACCAUCAACACUUGAUGCUCCGUCUUGAUUUCUACCUCCGCAGCCUUUAGCAUUGCGAAGAGCUCGGGAAUUGUCUUAUCCAUCCCUUGCAUGUUAUAGUUCAUCACGAAGCUCUUGUAGCUUGGUGGCAGUGAUUGAAGAAUUCUGUCAAUGACGCUAUCAUCCGGAAGAUUAACUCCCAGUUGAAUCAAGUGAUUGUUAUACCCAGACAUUCUGAGUAUAUGCUCACUGACAGAACUAUUCUCCUCCAUCUUACAGCUGUAGAACUUAUUGGAGACUUCAUAUCUCUCAAUCUGGGCAUUUGCUUGAAAUAUUAACUUCAACUCCUGGAACAUCUCAUAUGCUCCAUGACGUUCAAAACGUCGUUGAAGUCCUGGUUCUAAGCCGUAAAGCAUGGCACACUAAACUAUCGAGUAGUCAUCAACUUUGCUUUGACAGACGUUCAUAACAUCUGGUGUUGCUCCUGCAGCAGGUUUGGCACCUAGCGGUGCUUCCAGGACGUAAUUCUUCUGUGCAGCAAUGAGGAUAAUCCUCAAGUUACGGACCCAGUCCGUGUAAUUGCUACCAUCAUCUUUCAACUUUGCUUUCUCAAGGAACGCAUUAAAAUUCAACGGAACAACAGCACGGGCCAUCUAUCUACAAUCAACAUAGACAAGCAAAAUACUAUCAGGUACUAAGUUCAUGAUAAAUUUAAGUUCAAUUAAUCAUAUUACUUAAGAACUCCCACUUAGAUAGACACCCCUCUAAUCCUCUAAGUGAUCACGUGAUCCAAAUCAACUAAACCAUGUCCGAUCAUCACGUGAGAUGGAGUAGUUUCAAUGGUGAACAUCACUAUGUUGAUCAUAUCUACUAUAUGAUUCACGCUCGACCUUUCGGUCUUAGUGUUCCGAGGCCAUAUCUGCAUAUGCUAGGCUCGUCAAGUUUAACCUGAGUAUUCCGCGUGUGCAACUGUUUUGCACCCGUUGUAUUUGAACGUAGAGCCUAUCACACCCGAUCAUCACGUGGUGUCUCAGCACGAAGAACUUUAGCAACGGUGCAUACUCAGGGAGAACACUUAUACCUUGAUAAUUUAGUGAGAGAUCAUCUUAUAAUGCUACCGUCAAUCAAAGCAAGAUAAGAUGCAUAAAAGAUAAACAUCACAUGCAAUCAAUAUAAGUGAUAUGAUAUGGCCAUCAUCAUCUUGUGCUUGUGAUCUCCAUCUCCGAAGCACCGUCAUGAUCACCAUCAUCACCGGCGCGACACCUUGAUCUCCAUCGUAGCAUCGUUGUCGUCUCGCCAACUUAUGCUUUUACGAUUAUCGCUACCGCUUAGUGAUAAAGUAAAGCAUUACAGGGCGAUUGCAUUGCAUACAAUAAAGCGACAACCAUAUGGCUCCUGCCAGUUGCCGAUAACUCGGUUACGAAACAUGAUCAUCUCAUACAGUAAAAUAUAGUAUCAUGUCUUGACCAUAUCACAUCACAACAUGCCCUGCAAAAACAAGUUAGACGUCCUCUACUUUGUUGUUGCAAGUUUUACGUGGCUGCUACGGGCUGAGCAAGAACCGUUCUUACCUACGCAUCAAAACCACAACGAUAGUUUGUCAAGUUAGUGUUGUUUUAACCUUCUCAAGGACCAGGCGUAGCCACACUCGGUUCAACUAAAGUUGGAGAAACUGACACCUGCCAGCCACCUGUGUGCAAAGCACGUCGGUAGAACCAGUCUCGCGUAAGCGUACGCGUAAUGUCGAUCCGGGCCGCUUCAUCCAACAAUACCGCCGAACCAAAGUAUGACAUGCUGGUAAGCAGUAUGACUUAUAUCGCCCACAACUCACUUGUGUUCUACUCGUGCAUAUAACAUCUGCGCAUAAAACCAGGCUCGGAUACCACUGUUGGGGAACGUAGUAAUUUCAAAAAAUUUCCUACGCACACGCAAGAUCAUGAUGAUGCAUAGCAACGAGAGGGGAGAGUGUUGUCCAUGUACCCUCGUAGACCGAAAGCGGAAGCGUUAGCACAACGCGGUUGAUGUAGUCGUACGUCUUCAUGAUCCGACCGAUCAAGUACGGAACGCACGGCACCUCCGAGUUCAGCACACGUUCAGCUCGACGACGUCCCUCGAACUCCGAUCCAGCCGAGCUUUGAGGGAGAGUUUCGUCAGCAUGACAGCAUGGUGACGAUGAUGAUGUUCUACCGACGCAGGGCUUCGCUUAAGCACCGCUACGAUAUUAUCGAGGUGGAUUAUGGUGGAGGGGGGCACCGCACACGGCUAAGAGAUCAAUGAUCAAUUGUUGUGUCUUUGGGGUGCCCCCUGCCCCCGUAUAUAAAGGAGCAAGGGGAGGAGGCGGCCGGCCAGGGAGAGGCGCGCCAAGGGGGAGUCCUACUCCCACUAGGAGUAGGACUCCUCCUAUUCCUAGUAGGAGUCAGAGAGGGGGAAGGAAAGGGAGAGGAGGGGAAGGAAAGAGGGGGCCGGCCCCCUUGCCCUAAACCAAUUCGGUUUGGGCCUUGGGGGGCAUGCCCCACACUCCCCUUGCUGCCCUCUAUUUCCACUAAGGCCCAUGUAGGCCCAUUAAGCCCCCGGGGGUUUCCGGUAAUCCCCGGUACUCCUGUAAAAUCCCGAUUUCACCUGGAACACUUCCGAUAUCCAAAUAUUGGCUUCCAAUAUAUUAAUCUUUAUGUCUCGACCAUUUCGAGACUCCUCGUCAUGUGCGUGAUCACAUCCGGGACUCCGAACAACCUUAGGUACAUCAAAACUCAUAAACUCAUAACAUAACCAUCAUCGAAACUUUAAGCGUGCGGACCCUACGGGUUCAAGAACUAUGUAGACAUGACCGAGACAUGUCUUCGGUCAAUAACCAAUAGCGGAACCUAGAUGCUCAUAUUGGCUCCCACAUAUUCUACGAAGAUCUUUAUCGGUCAGACCGCAUAACAACAUACGUUGUUCCCUUUGUCAUCGGUAUGUUACUUGCCCGAGAUUCGAUCGUCGGUAUCUCAAUACCUAGUUCAAUCUCGUUACCGGCAAGUCUCUUUACUCGUUCCGUAAUACAUCAUCCUGCAACUAACUCAUUAGUUGCAAUGCUUGCAAGGCUUAUAGUGAUGUGCAUUACCGAGUGGGCCCAGAGAUACCUCUCCGACAAUCGGAGUGACAAAUCCUAAUCUCGAUAUACGCCAACCCAACAAGUACCUUCGGAGACACUUGUAGAGCACCUUUAUAAUCACCUAGUUACAUUGUGACGUUUGGUAACACACAAAGUGUUCCUCCGGUAAACGGGAGUUGCAUAAUCUCAUAGUCAUAGGAACAUGUAUAAGUCAUGAAGAAAGCAAUAGCAGAAUACUAAACGAUCGUGUGCUAAGCUAACGGAAUGGGUCAAGUCAAUCACAUCAUUCUCCUAAUGAUGUGAUCCCGUUAAUCAAAUGACAACUCAUGUCAAUGGCUAGGAAACAUAACCAUCUUUGAUUAACGAGCUAGUCAAGUAGAGGCAUACUAGUGACACUCUGUUUAUCUAUGUAUUCACACAAGUAUUAUGUUUUCGGUUAAUACAAUUCUAGCUUGAAUAAUAAACAUUUAUCAUGAUAUAAGGAAAUAAAUAAUAACUUUAUUAUUACCUCUAGGGCAUAUUUCCUUCAACCUCUAGUGAACCUGAAAUAGAAAACCCCCCCGAAGCUAAUAGUGAUGUUUCCAUCUCUGAUACUGAAACUCAAUCUGGUAAUGAACAUUCACCUAGUGAUAAUGAACAAGAUAAUGAUAAUGUUCAUGAAGACACCCAACCAAACAAUAAAGAGACAGAUAAUUAUGUUGAGAUAGAACCUGCUGUUGAUCUUGAUAACCCACAACCUAAAAAUAAAAGAUAUGACAAAAGAGACUUUGUGGUUACAAAACAUGAUAAACAAAGAGAACCAUGGGUUCAAAAACCCAUGCCCUUUCCACCUAAACCAACUAAGAAAAAAGAUGAUGAAGAAUUUGAACGUGUUGCUGAACUUAGGCCAGUCUUUUUGCGCACUCGCUUGACUGAUAUUUUAAAGAUGGCCCCUUAUGCAAAAUACAUGAAAGACAUCAUCACUAAUAAGAGGAAAAUACAUGAAGCUGAAAUCUUCACCAUGCUUGCUAAUUAUUCUUUUAAGGAUGGAGUACCUAAAAAACUUGGAGAUCCAGGAAUACCAACUAUACCUUGCUCCAUCAAAAGAAAUUAUGUUAAAACAGCUUUGUGUGAUUUAGGAGCUGGUGUUGGUGUUAUGCCUUUCUCCUUAUAUCAAAGACUUGAUUUGAAUAAACUCACACCUAUUGAAAUAUCUUUGCAAAUGGCUGAUAAAUCAACUGCCAUACCUAUCGGUAUUUGUUUUGAUGUGCCCGUUGUUGUUGUUGCAAAUAUUACUAUUUUAACUGACUUUGUUAUACUUGAGAUGCCCGAGGACGACAACAUGUCAAUUAUCCUUGGUAGACCCUUUUUGAAUACUGCAGGGGCUGUUAUUGAUUGCAAUAAAAGCAAGGUCACUUUUCAUAUCAAUGGUAAUGAACAUGCAGUGCACUUUUCGAAGAAACAAUUCGUGAAUGGUAUUAAUGUUAUUGAAAAAUCUCCGACACUCACUAUUGGAAGUUUUCAACUACAUCUGCCUAUUGCCAAAAAGACAUAUGUAAUGGUUAUUGUUGGGGACAUGCAUAUCCCCAUUGAGGUAACUUGGCGUUUUACGGAAGUUCUUCGGUUUCGUGCUAAUCGAAGGAGGUUGUUAAUAAGACCUGAUCAACCUUAUUAAUGGAUCAUUUUUUAGAGGUAUGAAGUUGAUGAAUUUAGUAGGCACUACCUCCUGUCCCUAUCUUUUGUUCUCUGUUUUUCUUAGUUAAAUAAAAUAAAAUGCCAUGUUUAUCAUUUUUUCUAGAUUUCCCGUGCAAUAAAAAAUGACCCAAAAAUAAAAGUGCUCAGAAUGCCCUGAAAAUUUAACAUGAUUUUUUCUGAAUAUUUCUGAAUUUUUUGUGCAAAUAACAUUAGAGGGGGGGGGGGUGCACCUGGUGACCACAAGACACUAGGGCGCGCCAGCAACCCCAAGCGCGCCCUGGUGGGUUGUGGUCCCCACAUGAGCCCCCUCACUUAUCUCUUUAGUCCAUGUCAUCUCCUACCUCCAGAAAAAAUCACCAUUGCUCUCUCUCUCUCUCUCUCUCUCUCUCUCUCUCUCGUGUUCUUGCUCUCAAACCCGCGGAUUUCGAUCUCUUUGCUCGAAGCUCCGUUUCCAAAACUGUUUUGGGGGAUUGCUACUUGGUAUGUGACUCCUCCAUUGCUCCAAUUAGGUUUUUCUUUAGUGGUUUGUAUUUUGAAUAAUUAGCUACUCUUGAUGCUGCUGUAGAUGAGCUUGCAUGUUGAAUUCUUAGAGUUCUAAGUAGUUUGAAUGCUUGAUAUGGCCUCUAUGCAUCCUUAUGAGUAUCUGCUAUCAAUCUUGUGAAGUUAUGUUGACAUAAAUUUUUUGGACUAAAUUUUCCAGAAUUUUAUCUAUAGGAAUAAGAUGAGUUUCUUUAGGAAGUUUGCCUCCAAGAAAUGCAAAGGGAGUCAUUAGGGAAUCAUCGGACAAUGACCUCCACACUCGGAGAAGGGCGGAGGUGCGGCCGUGCGAAUGGCCGCAUAAUCCCUUCAUGGAGGGGGCCGGGAUUCAUCAAGAGUUCGCCCAAUUCGCCGCAAAUGCCGGGCUAACCAACUUCAUCGUAGCUGAGUGUGAACAAUACCAUCUCCUUACAAAUUCCUUUGUGUAAAUUUUGAGUAGGAAUAAUCCCCCUGAGGUGCAGUUUAAUUUAUAUGAUGAAACCCGUGAGAUGCCACUCACUGGUUUUUGCGAUAUAUGCUUGAUCCCUUCUGACAGGGAAAUAAGAGAGCCUAGACCUGCAGAGUUUGAGGACUUUUAUCUUACUCUGGCAGUGGGAGAUGAGAGAGGUGUUUCGAGUGUUACCGCCACUAGCUUGCAGUUUCCUUCUGUGCAUUAUUUUGCGCUAUUUAUCGCUAAGUGUUUAAUUGCUAGAGAGAAGGUCGGUGCACUCAGUACCCCCGACUUCGCCAUUUUAUGUCGUGCACUAUAUGACCAUAACACCUAUCAGAACGCCCAGGCAGCGGCAGAGGAGGAGCCUCAAGAGUGGGACACUCAGGUGCCGCCACCGCUGCACUUCGACAUUGGACAAGAUGGCUACUACGGAUGGUGAUCACCAAGCUAGGCCAAAAGCCUAAGCUUGGGGGAGUACGUAUUUCCACUGACAUUAUAUUCAUGCUCACACAUUUCUAUUCCAGUUGUCGGUGUUCAUACUUUUUCAUUGUAUUAGCCAUGCUAGAUUUAUUUUCUUGCUUUCUUCUUGUGUGUUUGAAAAACUUUGAGAAAACCCAAAAAUAUUUCCUAUUUCUUUUCGGUUUUUCUUUCUAGUUUAAUUACUUGUAGUAUUAAAAUAAAACUGAAAAAUAUUUCUCGAUUCUUCUUUUGCUUGUUGGGAGCUUUGCCGUGUAAAUAGUUUUUUUCGUUUUUGUUUUUCCUUUUACCUUAAUUUGCUUUCUUCAAGAAAAACUAAAAACUCCAAAAAUAUUUUCAGUGUGUUUCUCUGAAAUUCUUUUCCUUUUUAUUGAGUCAUAGCAAGAAGAAGACCACGAUGAAAAUAUUGAGUGGCUCUCAUAUGCAUUACUGUUGAUCUAACAAAGAGCCCAAAUUGCUUUGUCUUCUCCUUUUGUAUAAAAUGUUUGUAGAUUCCAGCUUAGUCCGUGACACUCUUGCACUAUUAUUAUUUUCAUAUCAUUUGGUCGUGCAAGUGAAAGGCAAUAAUGACGAUAUUUGAUGAACUGGCUAUGGCAGAGAGAAACGGGUAUGAACUCAACUUGUUCUGUUUUUGUAAAUAUGUUUAACCUAGUAUCCAUGAUUCAGCAUAUUAUGAUCAAACAUGUUUGCAAUGACAAUUAGAGAUUAUAGUUUCUCAUGCUAUGCUUAAGUAGUUAGGAGCAGGUAAUGAUUUAUCUUGGAUGUAGUAUGAUGAUAUAGUAUCCUCCUCUGAAUGUUUCAAGUGGCUUGACUUGGCACAUGUUCAUGCACAUAGUUGAAUCAAAACCAACAUAGCAUCUACGAUAUUUAUGUUCAUGGUGUUCAUAUCCUACUCAUGCCAGCAUCCAAUGUUCAUUAUUCAUAAUGCAUGUUCAUGACCAUUUUCGCUCUUUAGCUGGCUGCUUCUCAACCUAUUUGCUAGCUGAGGGAGUCCUGGAUUAGGGGGUCCUCGGACAGCCGGACUAUAUCCUUUGGCCGGACUGUUGGACUAUGAAGAUACAAGAUUGAAGACUUCGUCCCGUGUCCGGAUGGGACUCUCCUUGGCGUGGAAGGCAAGCUUGGCAAUUCGGAUAUGUAGAUAUCCUCCCUUGUAACCGACUCUGUGUAACCCUAGCCCCCUCUGGUGUCUAUAUAAACCGGAGGGUUUAGUCCGUAGGACAACAACAAUCAUAAUCAUAGGCUAGCUUCUAGGGUUUAGCCUCUACGAUCUCAUGGUAGAUCAACUCUUGUAAUACUCAUAUCAUCAAGAUCAAUCAAGCAGGAAGUAGGGUAUUACCUCCAUCGAGAGGGCCCGUACCUGGGUAAACAUUGUGUCCCCCGCCUCCUGUUACCAUCCGCCUUAGACGCACAGUUCGGGACCCCCUACCCGAGAUCCGCCGGUUUUGACAUCGACAUUGGUGCUUUCAUUGAGAGUUCCACUGUGCCGUCACCAUAAGGCUUGAUUGCUCAUCUUGUUGUCAAGGACAACAUCACCUCGGGGGGAGCCCUGGCUGUAGGCCAAACCCUCCGAUUAGGCGGCUUCGUCAUGACCGCCCGUUCGGCCGUUGCGCCGAUGAUGACUUCUCGGGCCAUCAAAAAUAGUCUCCACGUCGGCUCGGGAUUCGCUUAGCAGAUGGAUCCAAUGGAGCUCUCUUCCCUGAACAAGCUCUUGGAUCGCAUCGCCACCUGGAUCGGGCUUAAACCCGACCAAAGGGAGAUCAAUUCUCCGCCGGUCACCCAUCAGAUAGCGGUGGUGGAGGAGCAACGCAUCGAUUCUUCCUCUAUCUUGAGGACGAACUAUGUCCGGAUUCCCGAGCUCUCCGAGCCGGAUACCCGUCUACGGGAGGACAUGGCCCAGGCUUUGAACCUAGAAUCAGACAGCGGGCCAGAUCUAUUGGGCAGCAUCCCAGAGCUCGAACUGCCAAGCUCGGAAACUCCUCCGCCCCUGGGUCUCAGAUCGAGUCAGGGUUCGGACCUAAAUCUACCCACCCACCUAGAUAUAAGUAAUCUUUCCCACAUUAGACAAGAGCCCCAAGAGACAGUACAUCACUAUUGGGCCAGAUUCCUCCUUGUAAUGAGCAAUGUUAAGGACUGUCGCGAGGAAGACGCAAUUUCAUUCUUUUGCAAAAAUUGCACGGACAAGGGAAUCCUCAACGCCAUAAGUCACCGUGAGAUAACACACUUCGCUGACUUGGUGGCUAUAGUACAGAAGUACUGUGCGAUGGAAAGCGCUUGGAAAACUCAAACAAAAUUCUGGGAUCCUCCGGCUCUCACUAAACCCCCCGUCCGAACUAAAAGGGUGUACUCUCGUAAGUCACCCGAUCCAAUUACAAAGAAACAAAAUCCCACUACAGGGUGUGGAACCGUAUUGGAGGGAUGGCUCAAUGGGCCAUGCAAAAUUCACAGUACAUCGGAUACCAUGCCAACACAUAGCCUUAGAGCAUGUUGGGUACUCCGGCAGGUGGCCAAGAGCGGGGAGGAUAUCCUCAUCAACAAUGCAACAGAGCACCAUCCCGUGGAAAUAACAAUACAGUAUUGACAGUCUUCGAGACCUUCGCCUCAAAUAAUAGGCGUAAGUGUGCACUCCACAACCUUGCCGAAGUCUGCCACAUAGCAGCAAUAAAUCCAUGGAGCGACACGACUAUAACCUUCAAUGCCAGUGACGAACCUAAAUUCCGAACAGCCCGAGCACCGGCCGCCUUAGUCCUUAGUCCAAUUGUGGACGGCUUCCGGCUUACUAAAGUGCUCAUGGACGGUGGCAGCGGAUUAAACCUCAUCUAUGAGGAAACCCUUCGAAAAAUGGAAAUAGACAAGAGCCGCAUUGAGCAAAGCAGCACGACCUUCAGAGGAAUCAUCCCUAGUCGGGAGGCACGAUGUGCAGGAAAAAUCACACUAGAUGUGGUAUUCGGUACACCGGAGAAUUAUAGGUCCGAAUAAAUCACGUUCCAAGUGGCCCCGUUCAGUAGUGGAUACCACGCCCUUUUAGGGCGGGAGGCGUUCACGAUCUUCCAUGCUAUACCCCAUUACGGGUACAUGAAGCUCAAAAUGCCCGGGCCCAAUGGAAUCAUCACUCUAGCUAGUGAUCCGGACAUAGCACUCCGCACCGAAAAUAAAACCGCCGCACUAGCCCUCGAGGCGUUAUCUGAAGCCCUUGCGGCCGAAGAACUAACUGCGCUGCAUUCCACAGUGGACAGGGACGACGUGAUACUUGACAAAAGACCCAAGUCCACCUCGUUUAAACCAGCGGACAAAAUAGUCAAAUUCCAAGUCCACCCAACGGACCCUGCAAAAACAGCAUCCAUCGGGGCACAGUUAAACCCCACAGUAGACGCCGCACCGCGGGAGUUCUUGCGCGAGAAUUGGGACAUCUUCGCCUGGCAUCCUUCAGACAUGCCAGGAAUCCCACGCAGGCUGGCCGAGCAUAGCCUUAACAUUCUGAAGGGGUUCAAGCCGGUCAAGCAGACUCUUCGGCGUUUCUCUGAGCCUAAGCGACAAGCCAUGUGAGAGGAGCUAGCAAGUUACUUGAGGCCGGAUUCAUUAGAGAAAUAAAACAUCCGGACUGGCUAGCAAACCUGGUGAUGGUACCAAAGAAGGACAAAUCCUGGCGCCUAUGUGUCGAUUUCAAGGACCUUAACAAGGCUUGCCCCAAGGAUCCCUUCCCUCUCCCCCGCAUCGCUCAAAUUAUCGAUGCUACCGCAGGACACGACUCAUUGUGUUUCCUCGACGCAUACUCCGGAUACCAUCAAAUUAAGAUGGCAGAGUCCGAUCAAGCCGCAACGGCAUUUAUCACUCCAUACGGCCCCUUCUGUUUUAACACCAUGCCUUUCAGGCUCAAAAACGCCGGUGCAACCUAUCAACGCAUGAUUCAGACAUGCCUGGAAACACAAAUUGGCAAAACAGUGGAGGCGUACGUAGACGACGUGGUCAUCAAAAACAGACACGUCGAAUCCUUAAUAGACGACUUGAGGCUCAGGUUCGACAAACUCCGAACAUAUGACAUCAAGCUCAAUCCGGAAAAAUGCGUUUUCGGCGUGCCCGCCGGAAAGCUCUUGGGCUUCAUCGUCUCCAGCAGAGGAAUUGAAGCAAAUCUGGCUAAAAUACGAGCUCUGUCACAGUGGGCUAUCCCAACAGACCUCAAGCAAAUCCAAAAAUUAACUGGAUGUGUGGCUGCCUUAAGCCGCUUUAUCUCCCGAUCAGGGGAAAAGGCACUACCCCUUUAUCGCCUUCUUCGACGCACCAAAUACUUCGAGUGGACGGAUGCGACCACGGCCGGAUUGGAAGAAAUAAAAGCCGUUUUGGCCACCAACCCAAUCUUGGCCGCGCCAAAUGUCGGCGAACCAAUGCUGUUAUAUAUAGCGGCAACACACCAAGUUGUAAGCGCAGUGCUCGUCGUCAAACGAGAGACGGACGGACAUAAGUUCCCGCUUCAAAAGCCGGUAUACUAUGUAUCCACUGUCCUCACUCCAUGCAAAUCACGGUACCCACAUUAUCAAAAGAUAGCAUACGCGGUCUUCAUGGCAUCCCAGAAAUUACGACACUACUUUCAAGAGUGUUCAAUUACGGUGGCCUCUGAAGUACCACUCAACGACAUAAUAAAUAACCGUGAUGCCACGGGCCGGAUUGCUAAAUGGGCUAUUGAGCUCCUCCCGUUUGACAUAACAUACAAACCACGGCGAGCCAUGAAGUCACAAGUACUGGCUGAUUUCGUGGCCGAAUGGACAGAAGCCGAACUCCCUAAAGAGUACGGCGCGUACUCCAAUUGGAUCAUGCACUUUGACGGCUCUAAGAUGCUGGCUGGUCUAGGGGCAAGCGUCGUCCUGACAUCCCCCACCGGAGAUACAGUCCAAUAUGUACUCCAAAUAUUAUACACAGACUCCAACAAUGCAGCAGAAUACGAGGCCCUGUUGCAUGAUCUCCGGAUAGCAGUCUCCAUGGGCAUUCAACGCCUAGAGGUGCGUGGGGAUUCAAACCUCGCAACAUCUCAAAUAAAUGGAGACUUUGACGCCAAGGACCCAAAAAUGGCGGCUUACCGCAACGCCGUCCUCAAAAUGUCAGCUCGGUUCGAGGGGCUUGAAUUCCACCAUGUGGUCAGGGAAAACAAUCAAGCGGAGGACAUCCUCACCCGCAUCGGCGCUAAGCGCGACCCUGUCCCACCUAAUAUCUUCUUGGAAAGGCUGUUUAAGCCAUCCGUGGUAUGGGAAGGAGAGACCGGCAACAACAGUCCGGACCUGGCCACAACACCAGAUACCGAACACUCUGACGUAAUCGAAGGCUCUGCCAUCGAAAUAACGCCUUCGGCCCACAUGAUUAUGGCUGUCAUCGCCCCGUGGACAGAACCCUUCUUGGCCCACCUAAUCAGGCAAGAACUCCCUUAGGACCCAAACGAGGCACGCUGCAUUGUACGGCGGUCUAAAGCCUACAAGGUUCACAAGGGAGAGCUUUAUAAAAAAAGCGCUACCGAAGUACUUCAAAGAUGCAUCUCCGAAGAGGAAGGACGGCAUCUUUUGGCAGAAAUUCAUGCUGGACUUGGCGUCCACCACGCCGCAGCUCGGGCCCUUGUAAGCAAGGCCUUCCGUACUGGUUUUUACUGGCCGACGGCCCGAGCAGACGCACAUGACCUCGUUCAACGUUGCGUCGGUUGCCAGCUUUUCGCAAACCAAAGCCAUAUGCCACCUACCACUCUCCAAACAAUCCCCAUUACUUGGCCCUUUGCGGUCUGGGGGCUUGAUAUGGUCGGACCCCUUAAAGGGGGAAGCCAUAAGAAAAAAUACCUAUUGGUCAUGGUGGAUAAAUUCACCAAAUGGAUAGAAGCCAAACCAGUUAAAACGGCCGAAUCCGGACCAGUGAUAGACUUCAUAUCCGGGGUUGUACACCGUUACGGCGUCCCCCACAACAUCAUCAAAGAUAACGGCUCCAACUUUACAGCCGACGAGGUAAAAACUUGGUGCGGCAACAUGGGCAUUAAGCUCGAUUAUGCCUCUGUCUAUCACCCCUAAACAAACGGUCAGGUUGAGCGGGCAAAUGGUCUCAUUAUGAGCGGCAUUAAACCCAGACUAGUGCGAUCCUUGAAGGAAUCAGAUACACACUGGGUCGAGGAGCUCGACUCCGUACUAUGGGGGCUGUGGACCACGCCAAAUCGCACUACCGGAUACACACCGUUCUUUAUGGUGUACGGCGCAGAGGCGGUACUGCCCUGCGACAUAAUUCAUGACUCACCUCGAGUGCGCAUGUAUGAAGAGAAAGAAGCCGAGCUUGAUCGGCAGGACAGUUUGGACGCCCUGGAGGAGGAGUGAGACGUGGCAAAAGCCCGCUCUGCAUUCUAUCAGCAACAGGCUCGACGGUAUCAAAGCAGAGAAGUACGGGCCAAAACUUAUAACGUUGGCGAACUAGUUCUAUGCCUACCGGAGAAGAAAAAGAACAAGCUCAAGCCCAAAUGGGAAGGUCCCUUCGUUAUCGACCAAGUUCUGACCGGCGGAGCAUACCGUCUGCGGGAUGCAUCGGACAAUCGACUCGAGCCAAACCCAUGGAACACAGCCAGACUCCGAAGGUUCUAUGCCUAGUGCCGGACUAUGUGUUCGUCUCCUUACCUCCGUCAAUUUUUUUAUAUAUCUGUUAUCUGUCUUUUCUUUCUUUCUUUCUUCCCUUUUUCUUCACAACCUUAAAAGGUUAAAAUGUGUCUUGACUACACAAUCUUGACGCGCUAGGCGUGCUCAUUAUACCUGGGGGCUUCUUAUAUAGAAGCCUAAUAUAAUUAUGUUCCGGGCUUUAUGCCCCCGCACAUGUGUUACUUUUCCACAUGUACCUUUUCUUCGCCAUUAUAUGCAUCGAUAUGACUUAAGUUUUGGCCAAGCUGGGUUGCCUGGCUCUUGUGUUUAUGCCAUACGUUCCCGUUAAUUCGGCUAGGGCAUAAGGGGAGCACCUCUGUGAUUGUUACUGCCGGGUCAGCCGGAUGUGUACUUCAGACUGGGUGAAGCCGAAAGCUAGCGUUCUUAAGAGAAUAUUCGUUCGGUGAACAAAAGAUGACUUUUACUUAUUGUAAUACAUGCCCCAGAUGUUUAUAUCCUGGAUCUCUUUUCACAGUUCGGACAUGCACAUUAAUGCAUGCGUACCUAGGGAAAGGAACCCUUAACGGAACUAUUCUCCCUAGAAGAUGUUUCUUACUAUCCAUGUAAUAUAACAUAGCUAGUUGGGUACUUGUCUGUUCAAGCACUUAUGACCCCUACGCCUGGUUUCCACGCGUACCCUGGUUUUUACAUAACUGAGCGGGUAUUCGGAUACACUCCGGACUGUCGGGUCCGGAGGUCGAAGUGAAAAGGUCCGCCAUGACAAAUGAUUUACAAUCCGGCUAGGGACAAAAUAUGUCAUUUGAAGUACACAUUCACUUAGACUGACUAAAUUCUUCUUCUAUACCAUCCAACAGGCUGUCUAGCCUACAAUCCUGUUGGGAAUACUUUGCGGCUAAUUUUACCUGGUCAUAUACUAGACUAACGGGGAUCUCUUUCCCAUCAGGCCCUACAGGUCCGACCUCGGCCAUGUGGUUCGGGUCAGCCUUGGUAUAUCGUGUCUUCACCAUGGCCCAGGCUUCCCUUGCACCUUGUCGGCAGGCCGAUAUCUUCCAUAAUCGGAAGCGCCGCCGCGCUCCCUUGAGCAUCUCUACGAGCUCCCCAUGCCUCCUGGCAGGGAGGCGGAUGGCCACAAGGCCUGGGCAAUGCCCUGCAUCACCUACCGAACUUGUUCGUGCAGUUGUGAGAGCUCUUGCAGAAGAUCGCCUGCAGAUCCGGGCAUCUCCUCUUCGGGACGACCCGUCAGCAUACCUACAGAUAUAACUCUAUUAGCCGGUUUCUUUGCCGAACUCUAUAAAAGUUCAUUCAAGCACUUACUAAAUAUGUCGCGUCGAAGCCUCUUAUUCUCCUUUACGGAGUUAGCAAGCUGGGCCUGAACAUCUUUCAGUUCAACGCCCAACAGGGUAUUGGCAUCUUGGAGAUCGUUUUUCUCCCGCCUAACCCGUGUAAGCACGCGCUCGCCAGCCUCUAGCUGUCGUUGAGCAUGUUGCUCAUCCCCUCGAACGAUCUUCGGAUUCACUCCGGGAUUAUCUGCAGAAUCUAUUGUUAGAUUUGCAUGCAUGCCGAAUACUAACUGGUACAUGUCAUUUCAUUCUCGAUCACGGCAAGUAUUACCAGAUGCGGCCUUCUGGGACUCCUCCAUUCCAGCAACUGCGGCCCGUAGCUGGGCUUUGCAUUCCUCCAGCUCUUGAGACAACUGGGUAUUCUUCUCCGUAAGAACCUACGCAUAUAAUGAUCCUUAAAUCAGUUGUGCCAACUGUUUCAAGUCUCAGGGGCUACUGGUAUACAUAAUUAUCAGAUUUUCUUACCCGUAUAUCUUUUACAUACUGGUCCGUCGCUCUGGCCAGGCCAUUUUGAGCAGCUCGGAUGUACGCGUCUCCUGAGUUGAAGGCAUCGAACGCCUCUUGAGAGAAACAAGUGUCGCGGAGUAUGGCCCGGCGACGCCUGUGAUUCAUGGCACUCUCCAAUUCGGAAUUCGUGGCGGACAGCCUAUCCGCAUCCUCUAUAGGAGGGACAUCCGGUGUUGGCUCCACGUUAGCGUCUGCCUCUAAGUCCGGCUCUGGAGCCCGGCUGGUAGAGGCGUGGCCGGCAGGCUCUCCGGAUAUAGUCCGGCGAGCGUUUUUUCUGCUAGGAAACAUGGACGUUGUUACGUUUUAAAAGACGACAACCACGGAGCGGGGUUCUUUUUCGUACCUCUGCGACGGCGUCUCAGUCCUGACCGCCUUCCUUUUAAGCCUACCCGGUUUCGGUGCCCCUUGUUGGUGAGUCACUGCGGGUUCAGCAUGGCAUCCCGAAGACCUUCCCUGUAAGACACCAUAUGUGUGCGGUAGGUGAAGUGCAAAAAAGGGAUCCUUCUCGGAAGUUGGGACUCCGGUUUUACUUACAUGCGACGCAGGGAGUAGUCCAAGAUAAUCGGCUAUGAUGGCCACCAAGGCACCGUCACGGAUUAAUUGAUAGAACGUCCUGUCGAUGAGCUCCACAAAUGUGUCCGGAUCUUCUUCGAGUUCGGGGUCGAGGGCCCGGUCAGGGUCCUCUGGUUGUGGAGGCGGGCUGUGGACCUCCCUCACAGCUUUUCGCAGUUCCUGCUAUGAAAUAGCAAGGUAAAUACCUAUGACGAAAAAUGCGGGAAGGUUAGGAGUAAAAGGUAGCAGCUCACCCAGCUUGGGGGCGGGGUGUACAUGGAGAAUCCAUCCCGUGGCUUAAUGCGGAUGAACUCCUCUUCCUCUCCUUUAUAUAAAUCGGACAGUAUUUUCGCUAAAGCAGCGACGGAGUCCGGUCCCUUACGACCGCAGCGGGUGGCAUCGUCUUCUCCAUUGAAGUGCCACAUGGGUUGUCCCCGAUACUGAAGUGGCUGCACCCCCCGCAUUAUACAUAUCGACAUAACCUCGAUUUUUGUCAAUCCUGAUUUGGCCAGCGUUUUUAUCCGGUCCAUCAGGUAAAGGACUUCUCCAUUAUCUUCCUCCCGGGGGCUCCGAGGGCGCCAGCUGCGGCGUUUCUUCAAAGGGGCGUUACUAAACUCAGGAAGGCCCAUCCGAAUAGGGUCCGGAAGGGGGACGUCCUCCAUAUAAAACCACUUUGAAGGCCAGUCUUCGGACGUCUUCUUCGGAGUACCGGACAGGUAUCCGGCCCCGGCGAUGCGCCAUAUCUCGGCUCCGCCCACUUGAUAUAUUGACCCCUCCCGUGUAUGGGGUACGAGGCAGAAUAGCCUCUUCCAUAGCUCGAAAUGAGCUUCGCAGCCCAAAAACAGCUCGCAAAGGGCGACGUAGCCAGCGAUGUGUAAAAUGGAGGCGGGAGUAAGGUUAUGCAACAGGAGGCCGUAGAACUCCAGGAGUCCGCGGAGGAAUGGAUGGAUUGGAAAUCCGAGUCCCCUCAAUAAAUAAGGGACAAGGCAUACCCGCUCCCCCAUGGAUGGGUUGGGAAAGCUCUCUGCUUGCUCCCCGCCAUUGUAAGUGGCUAAUCCGGCUCGGACGGGGACCAUAUACGCAGGAAGGAGAAACCCCUGGGUCUGUAACUCCACUAAUUGGCUGUGGGGAACGGAACACUUCUUCCAAUUGCCCGGCUUGGGGCUACGGGAGCGAGAGGAGGAGCUGCGAUGGCCGGCCAAGAUGGGAUGGAUUUUUUUGGGCGCUCUCCGAUGGAUGCUCGCUGUGGGAGAAUGGUGUGAUCUGGAUCUGACGAUCCCCAUCUCUUUAAAUAGACGGUUUACUUACAUGGUUAGGGUGGCAAGUGUAAAAUGCACCGACUUCUCGCAUUCGCUCGACACGUGGAGGAUAGCCAUUAUUAGGCGCAGAAGCCGAGGAGUGCAACAUUCAUGGGAAGCCAGACACUACUCGACAGGUACUCAGAAUUUGGAGAAGAACCCGCCUUGCAAUGCCGAAGACAAUCUGCGCGCCGGACUCAUCGUCAUUGAAGCCUGGUUCGGGGGCUACUGAGGGAGUCCUGGAUUAGGGGGUCCUCGGACAGCCGGACUAUAUCCUUUGGCCGGACUGUUGGACUAUGAAGAUACAAGAUUGAAGACUUCGUCUCGUGUCCGGAUGGGACUCUCCUUGGCGUGGAAGGCAAGCUUGGCAAUUCGGAUAUGUAGAUCUCCUCCCUUGUAACCGACUCUGUGUAACCCUAGCCCCCUCCGGUGUCUAUAUAAACUGGAGGGUUUAGUCCGUAGGACAACAACAAUCAUAAUCAUAGGCUAGCUUCUAGGGUUUAGCCUCUACGAUCUCGUGGUAGAUCAACUCUUGUAAUACUCAUAUCAUCAAGAUCAAUCAAGCAGGAAGUAGGGUAUUACCUCCAUCGAGAGGGCCCGAACCUGGGUAAACAUUGUGUCCCCCGCCUCCUGUUAUCAUCCGCCUUAGACGCACAGUUCGGGACCCCCUACCCGAGAUCUGCCGGUUUUGACACCGACACUAGCCUUAAGCCUGUAUUAAGUAGGAAUACUGCUUGUGCAUCAAAAACCUUAAACCAAAGUUAUUCCUGAUGAGUCCACCAUAUCCACCUAUAUGCGGUAUUACCCUGCCGUUCUAAGUAAAUUUGCAUGUGCCACCUCUAAACACUUCAAAUAAACAUCUAUUUUUGUGUGCCUAGAUUGUUCAUUGAGCUACAGGGGGUAGUCGGUGAGGGAGUCCUAGAUAAGGGGGUCCUCGGGCGUCCGGGCUAUGUGACAUGGGUCGGACUGAUGGGCCGUGAAGAUACAAGAUAGAAGGCUUUCCCCCGUGUCCGGAUGGGAGUCUCCAUGGCGUGGACAGCAAGCUUGGCGGCCAAACGUGUAGUUUCCUUUCUCUGUAAACCGACUCUGUACAAUCCUAGCCCCCUCCGUGUCUAUAUAAACUGGAGGGUUUAGUCCGUAGAGGCAAUCACAAAUCAUACAGGCUAGACAUCUAGGGUUUAGCCAUUACGAUCUCGAGGUAGAUCAACUCUUGUAACCCCUAUACUCCACGAAGUCAAUCAAGCAUGAAGUAGGGUAUUACCUCCAUUAAGAGGGCCCGAACCUGGGUAAACAUCGUGUCCCCCGUCUCUUGUUACCUUCGAUCCUCAGACGUACAGUUCGGGACCCCCUACCCGAGAUCAGCCGGUUUUGACACCGACAUUGGUGCUUUCAUUGAGACUUCCUCUGUGUCGUCAAUAGAAGGAUCGAUGGCUCGCCUUGUCGUUGACGACAAAAUCACCUCUGGAAGGGCCCUAGCUCCUGGGCAGAUCCUCCAGCUCGGCAGUUUUACCAUGGGCGCCCGCUCAGCCAGUAAGCUAGAGCCAGUCCCCCAAACUGCCAUGAAUCAUCUCCACAUUGGCCUCGGACACUCCGACAGGAUGGAUCCGGCAGAUGUCUCAUCUUUGAACGAACUGCUAGAUCGCAUCGCCGCCUUGGGGGUCACCAUAGACUAUGAUCGGAUCGGGCUUAAACCCGAUCAGAGGGAAAUCAGGUCCCCACCGAUCACCCAUUUGGUUGCGGUUGUGGAGGAGCAAGCCAAGGAUAACUCUCCCCCAAUGCUGAGAACAAGCUAUGUUCGGAUUUCGGAGCCCUACGAGCCGAAUACCCAUCUUCGGGAAGAGACUCCCUGUCCUCCGAACAUAGAACCAGACAUCGAGCCUGAAAACUCCCAGGAUACUCCGGAUCCUGGGCUAGUAACCUCAGAAAUUCUUAAAACUCCGGAUCCCACGGUGGGUCAGGGUUCGGAUUUAAGCCCGCCCACCCACCACAAGAAAUAUUUCCGAAGCAAUUCUGGUCCUCCGGACACAUACGACCUAAUGUAUGUACAACAGCAACCUCAGGAAACAGUCCAUCACUUUUGGGCCAAAUUCCUCCUUGUUAAAAACAAGAUCAAAGAUUGCUGCGACGUCGACACGGUUUCAGUAUUUUGCCGCAACUGUACGGACGAGGGGAUCCUCAAUGCCCUCAACCAACAUCGCAUACUGCACUUUGCAGAUUUGGCACACAUAGUACAGAAAUAUUACGCCAUGGAAAGCGCCUGGAAAGCCCAAACAGCUCGGUGGGAACCGCCGGCCUUUAAGCCGCCCACCGGACGGACAAAAAGGAUGCACCCCCACAGGGCACCUGAUCAUCACCCUAUGGACAAGAAAAUUAAGCCCUUAACGGGACACAGAAUUUUCCUUGAUGAAUGGCUUGACAAGCCCUGUCGGAUACACACGACGCCGAAUUCCGAACCAACACACAGCCUUCGGUCAUGUUGGGUACUCCGACAGGUAGCCAAGAGCGGUGAGGCUAUCCUCACCAAUACAAACUCCGAGAAAUACCCUCCGGAGGACGACGAUCUCAAUGUCUUUACGGUCUUCGAGACCUUUUCUUCAAAUAAUCGGCGUAAAAGGGCACUCCGCGACCUCGCCGAAGUCAACCAAGUAGCCGCAGUAAACCCUUGGAACGAUACGGCGAUAACUUUCACUGCCAACGACGAACCAAGAGCUCGAUCAGUCCGCGCACCAGCCGCUUUGGUCUUAAAUCCAAUCGUCAACGGCUUUCGGCUCGCCAAAGUACUCAUGGACAGCGGCAGCGGACCGAACCUCAUCUACAAGGACACACUUGAGAAAAUGCAAAUAGACAAGAGCCGCAUCAAGCAGAGCAGUACAACCUUUCAAGGCAUUAUCCCCAGUCGAGAAGCGCGAUGCUCGGGGAAAAUUAAACUUGAUGUGGUAUUCGGCACGCCGGAGAACUAUAGGUCCGAAGAGUUAAUCUUCCAUGUGGCACCUUUCAACAGCGGAUAUCAUGCCCUGUGGGGGCGAGACGCAUUCACAAUAUUUCAAGCCAUACCCCAUUACGGGUAUAUGAAGCUCAAAAUGCCCGGGCCCAACGGAGUUAUCACUAUCACCAGUGAUCCGGACAUAGCACUUCGCACCAAAAACAAAACCGCAUCCCUGGCCCUCGAGGCAUUAUCUGAGGCCCUUGCGGCCGAGGAGCUCACCGCUCUGCAUUCCAUAGUGGAUAGAGACGAUGUAAUCCUUGACAAAAGGCCUAAGUCCACUUCUUUCAAGCCAACAGACAAAAUAGUCAAAUUCCAAGUUCACUCGACGGAUCCUAAUAAAACAACAGCCAUUGGAGCACAGCUGGAUCCGAUGGUCGACGCCGCUCUAAGAGCAUUCCUGCGCGAGAAUUGGGACAUCUUUGCUUGGCAUCAUUCGGAUAUGCCAAGAAUCCCACGCAGACUGUCCGAACACAGCCUCAACAUAAUAAAGGGGUUUAAGCCAGUUAAGCAAACGCUGCGGCGAUUUUCCGAACCCAAGCGACAAGCUAUGGGGAGGAGCUAGCCAAACUAUUUGAAGCCAGGUUCAUUAGAGAGAUAAAACACCCAAAUUGGCUAGCCAACCUGGUCAUGGUGCCAAAGAAGGACAAAUCCUGGCGCCUUUGUGUCGAUUUCAAAGACCUCAACAAGGCCUGCCCUAAGGACCCCUUCCCACUGCCCCGCAUUGACCAAAUCAUUGAUGCAACUGCAGGACACGAUUCACUGUGCUUCCUCGAUGCAUACUCCGGAUAUUACCAGAUUAAGAUGAAAGAAUCUGAUCAGGCCGCAACGACAUUCAUUACUCUGUACGGGCCUUUCUACUUCAACACAAUGCCUUUCGGACUCAAAAAUGCCGGCGCCACUUACCAACGCAUGAUUCAAACAUGCCUCGAAAAACAAAUUGGCAAGACGGUGGAGGCAUAUGUAGAUGAUGUAGUCAUCAAAACUAAACAUGUCGAAUCAUUGGUGGACGACUUACGCCUUACAUUCGACAACCUCCGAACAUAUGACAUACGGCUCAAUCCGAAAAACUGCAUUUUCGGUGUUCCGGCCGGAAAGUUGCUCGGGUUCAUCAUCUCCAGUAGAGGAAUCAAAGCAAAUCCGGCCAAAAUCCGAGCCCUGUCACAGUUGGCAAUACCAACAGACCUAAAACAGGUCCAAAACCUAGCUGGGUGUGUGGCAGCCUUGAGCCACUUUAUCUCCAGAUUGGGAGAGAAGGCGCUGCCGCUAUAUCGCCUGCUCCGACGUACCGACCACUUUGAGUGGACGGACGGGGCAACAGCCGGGUUGGAAGAAAUAAAAACUUUGUUAGCAAACAACCCAAUCCUUGCCGCACCUAACGUCGGCGAACCUGUGCUGCUGUACAUAUCUGCAACUCACCAGGUGGUGAGCGCUGUGCUUGUCGUGGAACGAGAGGAAGAGGGACACAAAUUCCCACUCCAAAAACUAGUAUAUUAUGUAUUGGUGGUUCUCACACCAUGCAAAUCCCGAUACCCGCAUUAUCAAAAGAUAGCAUAUGCGGUUUUUAUGGCAUCUCGGAAGCUGCAACACUACUUUCAAGAGUGCUCGAUCACGGUGGCCUCCGAAGUACCACUCAAUGACAUCAUAAACAAUCGAGACGCCACCGGACACAUUGCAAAAUGGGCUAUCGAGCUCUUACCAUUUGAAAUAACAUAGAAGCCACGCCGAGCUAUUAAAUCUCAGUUGUUGGCCGACUUUGUCGCCGAGUGGACAAAAGCCGAACUCCCUAAAGAGUACGACACAUACUCCAACUGGGUGAUGUACUUCGACGGCUCUAAAAUGUUAGCCGGACUGGAGGCUGGUGUCAUCCUAACAUCCUCUACAGGGGACACAGUCUGUUACAUAUGACAAAUCAUGUAUACGGGCUCCAAUAACGCAGCCGAAUAUGAGGCACUACUGCAUGGUCUUCGGAUGGCUGUUUCUAUGGGCAUACAACGCCUCGAGGUGCGGGGGGACUCGAACCUCGCAAUAUCCCAAAUAAAUGGAGAAUUCGAUGCAAAAGACCCAAAGAUGGUGGCUUAUCGCAACGUCGUACUCAAAAUAUCGGCUCGGUUUGAGGGGCUCGAGUUUCAUCAUGUGGCCCGAGACAGUAAUCAAGCAGCGGAUAUCCUUGCUCGAAUGGGCGCUAAACGCAACCCCGUCCCGCCUAACACCUUCGUGGAAAAGGCUUUUCAAGCCAUCCGUGGUAUGGCAGGAUGAGAGCGGAAAUACCAGUCCGCUGCCGAUCACACCACGGAUGCCGAACAUGAUUCGGAUAUCAUCGGGGGCUCGGGCACCGAACCAACGCCUUCCGCCCAUGAAAUCAUGGCGGUGAUCGCCCCAUGGACCGAACCCUUCUUAGCCUACCUCAAUAGGCAGGAGCUCCGUGAUGACCAGAACGAGGUCCGUCGCAUAGUUCGACGCUCCAAAGCCUACAAAGUUCAUGAAGGAGAACUCUACAAGAAAAGUACUACCGGAGUCCUUCAAAUAUGUAUCUUCGAAGAGGAGGGACGACAGCUCUUGGCCGAAAUACAUGCUGGUCUUGGUGGCCAUCACGCCGCAGCUCGGGCCCUUAUAAGUAAGGCCUUCCGUACGGGUUUCUUUUGGCCCACGGCCCAAGCAGAUGCACAAGACGUCGUAUAAUGUUGUGUCGGAUGCCAACUUUUUGCCAAUCAAAGCCAUAUGCCGCCCACUGCCUUACGAACAGUCCCCAUUACUUGGCCUUUCGCGGUCUGGGGGCUGGACAUGGUCGGAUCCCUUAAAGGGGGAAGCCAUAAGAAAAAAAUACUUGCUGGUUAUGGUAGAUAAAUUCACUAAGUGGAUAGAGGCCAAACUAGUUAAAACGGCGGAAGCCGGACCGGUGAUAGACUUUAUAUCCGGUGUCAUACACCGUUAUGGUGUCCCACAUAGCAUUAUUACCGAUAACGGCUCUAAUUUCAUAGCCGAUGAGGUGAAAAAUUGGUGUGCUAAUCUAGGCAUUAAACUUGAUUACGCCUCCGUGUAUCACCCCCAAACAAAUGGUCAAGUUGAACGGGCCAAUGGCCUGAUAAUGAGAGGCAUCAAACCCAGACUAGUGCGGUCGUCGGAUAAACACUGGGUCGAGGAGCUCGACUCCGUCCUCUGGGGGCUGCGAACCACGCCCAAUCGCACGACCGGAUACACACCUUUCUUCAUGGUGUACGGCGCAGAGGCUGUCUUGCCCUGCGAUAUUAUUCAUGACUCACCUCAAGUGCACAUGUAUGAGGAGAGAGAGAGGCCGAUCUCAAUCGGUAGGACGACUUAGAUGGCCUAGAGGAGGAGCGUGAUGUUGCAAAAGCCCAUUCCGCAUUCUACCAACAACAAGCUCGAAGAUACCAAAGCAGAGAAGUGCGGGCAAAGACUUAUAAUGUCGGUGAACUCGUUCUACGCCUACCAGAGAAGAAAAAGGACAAGCUCAAGCCCAAAUGGGAAGGUCCCUUCAUUAUAGAUGAAGUUCUCACUGGAGGAGCCUAUCGCCUUCGCAAUGCAUCAGAUAAUCGCUUAGAGCCAAACCCAUGGACCGCUGCUCGACUCCGAAGAUUCUACGCCUAAGUCCGGAUACAUACCUUUGUUCGUUCCCUUUUUCUCCUUUUUUAGUUAUUUCCCUUUUUUUGUUUUUUAUAAUUUCUAGCAUGUGUUCGGGUAAGCCGCACACUUGAGGGGUAUGCAUCCUUAAAUGUACACACCCAUCAUAACUGGGGGCUUCUCUCAAUAGAAGCUUAUCAUUUUGAGCAUAUAGCUCACCAUAUAUAUGUGUUAUUUGCCCACAUACGUCCCGUCUUCGCCAUUAUAUGCACCUCUAUGACUUAACUUUUUGCCAACCUGGGUUGCCUGGCUCCUGUGCUUAUGCCCUACAUUCCCGCUUGUUCGACUAGGGUAUAAAGGGAGCACCUCUGUGAUUGUUACAACCGGGUCAUCCAGACAUGUACCUCAGACGGGUGAAGCCGAAAGCUAGCGUUCUUAAGGGAAUAAUUGGUCGGCGGACAAACGAUGAACUGCCUUCAUUGCAAUAUAAACUAUCAAAAUACAAAGACUCCUGUGAUUCUUUCGCAUCACGUAGGCAUGCAUACACAAUGCAUGCUGACCCAGGGAGAGAAACCCUUAAAGGAACUAUUCUCUCUGGAAGAUGUUUCUUACGUUAAAAAGUAAUAUAACAUAACUCCCCGAAUACAGUUUGUCUGUUCAAGUACUAUGGCCGGAUUGCCUGGUUUCCGAACAUACUUGGUGUUUCCCACAGGUAUAUUAUUCAGAAACACUCCAACCCUUGGGUUUCGGAGGUCGAAGCGGGCGGUCUGCCAUGACAAUCUUUUACAAUUCGGCCGGAGAUAAGUUUGAUGAUAAAAGUGUAUUGUUACAUGAAAUCACACACCUACUCUUUCUCUAUGCCAUCUAUCAGGCUGUCUAGUAUACAGUCCUGCUGUGAAAAUUUGGCGGCUAUCUUUACUUGGUCAUACACCAAGCUAACCGGAAUUUCUUGUCCGCCCGGUCCCCGAGGUCCGACCCGGGCCAUAUGAUUUGGAUCAAGUCUGGUAUACUGCGUUUUCACCAUGGCCCAGGCUUCUCGUGCACCUUCUCGACAUGCUGAUGCCUUCCAUAGCUCAAAAAAAGACGAGCUCCCUUGAAUAAAUUCGCGAGCUCCCCCAUCAUUCCUGGAGGAGAAUCGGAUGGCCAUAAAGCCCUAGCCAUGUUCCUCAUUGCUUUCCGAGCUCGCUCGUGCACUUUGGAUAGCUCUUCCAGCAAGUCGCCUUGAAAUACAGACACUUCUCCCUCGGGCCGCCCAGUUAACAAACCUAUAGGAACAAAUCUCCUAAAAAAAUUCCAUUAGGGGAUCUUAUGAAAGUUAGGUUCAGGGACAUACUAAAUAUGUCGCCUUUCAGCUUUCUGUUCUCCUUCAAGGCAUCGGACAGUUGGGCUCUUACGUCCUUUAACUCUUCGGCUUGCUUGAUGUUGGCAUCCUAUAGUUUGUUCUUCUCAUUAAUGGUCCGUGUUAAUACACGUUGACCAGCGGCUUCUUGCCCUUCGACAUGUUGUUUGUCCGCCUGAGCAGCCUUUAGCCUCUCCUCCAACUGAUCUACCAAUCCUGCUGCCGUAAACAAAACAAUGAAUAUUAACAAACCAUUGUUAGCACAAAAUUGUAUUUCCCGGACACUGCUGUGCUUACCAUCCGGUGCCUUCUUGGAUUUCUUCAAAUUUUCCAGUUCGGCGGUGACAACAAUUAACUUAGUCCGACAUUCUUCAAGCUCCUUGGACAAUGUGUUAUUUUUCGCCAUGAGUACCUGAUAAUCUCAACGACCCUUAAAUCAGUUGGGCCAACUGCUUCAAUUCUCGGGGGCUACUGGCACAUGAUUAUUGAAUCUACACAGAAGUUCUUAGCCGCAUAUCCUUUGAAAGCUGGUGAGUGGCUCCGGCAAGUCCAUCCCGAGCAGCUCAGAUAUAUGCAUCCGCAGAGCUGAGGGCAUUGAACGCAUGUUCGGUAAAACUGGGGUCGCGCAUGGCCUCUUUUCGCCGCCGAUGAUUCAUCGCGCUCUCCACUUCGGAAUUGGUGACAGACACAUUAUUGAAUCCUCUUGGAGAUGACAAUCCGACAUUUUACCCGUAUCAACCCUAGUCCUUAUGGCAGGGUCCGGGGUCGGAUUGGUCGAUGCAUGGUCGGCGAGGUCCUCGGAUAUAGUCCGGCGUACGCUCUUCCUACAAAAUGGCCCGGCGAAAAACGUCACAAUUCGGUCUGGCCACCGAGUGCGUCUUAAAAACUAUACCUCUUUGGUGAAGGCGGGGGCUCGGUAGUAUCACCGUUUGCCCUUCUUUUCAAAGACUCGCCCUGCACGGGUGUCAACUUCUUAGAGGACACCUUUGAUACAGCUCGGCGAGACGAGCGCCGCCCCUUCGGAGCAUGAGACAGUGCGGUGGGUGAGGCGCAAUGGGAAAACUCUUUUGGAGGAGACGUCUCCUGGGUACUUACAUGGGAGGAGGGGAGAAGGUCGGGGUAAUCGGCUAUAAUAGCCACUUCCGUGCCAUCGUAGCUCGCCUGAUAAAAGACUCCCUCCUUAAGUUCUAUGAAUAUAUCCAGAUCUUCUUCAUAUCCAGGAUCCAGGUCUCGAACAUGGUCCUCCGGAUGCGGAGCGGGGCUGUAGACCCCCUCAACGACCUUUCUCCAUUCCUAUUAAAAGUAGCUGAAUCAAAUUCGACUAGCAUAACUCUGGAAAAAGGUUGAGUAAGGCCAAUAAUCAAAAAACUCACCCAGUCAAUGGGGUUAUACAUGGAAAAGCCUUCCCGACAUUUCAAGCGAGUGAAGUCUUCCUUCUCCCCUUUGAAAAGGUCAGCUAAGAUGGUGGCCAGGGCGGCAAAAUUGUCCAGACCCUUGCGUAGACAACGGGAUGCGUCGUCCUCCCCGUGGUAAUGCCACAUAGGAAAACCCCUAGAUUGGAGCGACUGAACGCAUCGCGUUAUUGAAAUUUCCAUUACCUCGAUUAUAGACAGCCCGGAGUCGGCAAGUACUCUGAUCUUGCUUGCUAGCCUCUCGACCUCCGCACUGUGUUCUUCCUCGAGGCUUCGGGGACGCCAGCUGGCGCGCUUCUUUAAGGGAGCGCUGGAGAAUUCGGGAAGCCGCGCCAGAUUGGGUCCGGCAGAACGACGUCUUCAAUAUAAAACCAUUCCGAGGGCCACUCUUCGGAUGCCUUCUUCGGAGUGCCGGAUAGGUAUCCUAUCCCGGCUAUGCGCCAUACUUCGGCGCCGCCCACCUCAAAUAUAGAUCCCUUUUGGGAGAGGGGGACGAGGCCGAAAAAUUUCCGCCAUAGCUCGAAAUGAGCCUCACAGCCUAGGAACAGCUCGCAAAGAGCAACGAAGCCUGCGAUAUGCAGGAUGGAUCCUGGCAUUAGAUUGUGCAGUUGGAGGCUGUAAUACUCCAGGAGACCUCUGAGGAAGGGGUAGAUAGGAAAUCCUACGCCCCUCAAAAGGAAGGAAACGAAGCACACCCGCUCCUCUUUAGAAGGAUUGGGGAAAUUCUCCGCCAAGGCCUCGCCAUUGUGGGAAGUUAAUCCAGCCCGAACGGAGACUAGAUCCGCAAGAGGAAGAUAUCCCUGCGUCUGAAAUUUAUUCAGAUGGGCGCGGGAUACUGAGCAGCUUUCCCAGUUGCCUUUUUGGAGGCCGUGGGGGCAUGAGGAAGAGCCAGGAGCGCCGGCCAUGUUUGGACAGUUUCCUAUGGUGAGUUCUAAGGAUUUCCGCAUGGUGUGGAAUUUCAUUUGAGAUCUAAUCUCCUUAAAUAGCCGCCUUCCUUGCGUGGUCGAGGGGUUAUUUGUAAAAAACACACCUAGACCGCUCACACUCAUUUGACACGUGGAAGCUGAGGUGACGACAACAAAGAAUCAAUAGAAUAUGAUAUUUAAUAUGGAGCCGGAUUAUCGUCAAACCGAAGUAUAAUGAAGAACCCGCCUUGCAAAGCCGAAGACAUAAAGUCGGAUACUACGUCGUCAUUGAAGGCAAGUUUGGGGGCUAUUGAGGGAGUCCUGGAUAAGGGGGUCCUCGGGCGUCCGAGCUAUGUGACAUGGGCCGGACUGAUGGGCCGUGAAGAUACAAGAUAGAAGGCUUUCCCCCAUGUACGGAUGGGACUCUCCGUGGCAUGAACAGCAACCUUGGCGGCCAGACACAUGUGGUUUCCUUUCUCUAUAUAAACCGACUCUGUACAACCCUAAACCCCUCCGGUGUCUAUAUAAACCGGAGGGUUUAGUCCGUAGAGGCAAUCACAAAUCAUACCGACUAGACAUCUAGGGUUUAGUGAUACGUCUCCAACGUAUCUAUAAUUUUUGAUUGUUCCAUGCUAUUAUAUUAUCCAUCUAGGAUGUUUUAUAUGCAUUUAUAUGCUAUUUUAUAUGAUUUUUGGGACUAACCUAUUAACCCAGAGCCCAGUGCCAGUUUCUAUUUUUUCCUUGUUUUUGAGUAUCGCAGAAAAGGAAAACCAAACGGAGUCCAAUUGACCUGAAAAUUGACAGAGCUUAUUUUUGGACCAGAAGAAGGCCACAGAGUCAAAGAGUUGGGCCAGAAGAGUCCCGGGCUGCCCAUGAGGGUGGAGGGCGCGCCCCCUGCCUCGUGGACAGCCCGGAGACCCCUUUGACUUGUUCCCAACACCAAAACCUCUUAUAUAUACAGAAACCCCCAGAACAUAACCUUGAUCGGGAGUUCCGCCGCCGCAAGCCUCUGUAGCCACCAAAAACCAAUCUAGACAUGUUCCGGCACCCUACCAGAGGGGGGAUCCCUCACCGGUGGCCAUCUUCAUCAUCCCGGCGCUCUCCAUGAUGAGGAGGGAGUAGUUCACCCUCGGGGCUGAGGGUAUGUACCAGUAGCUAUGUGUUUGAUCUCUCUCUCUCUCUCUCUCGUGUUCUUGAGGUGGUACGAUCUUGAUGUAUCACGAGCUUUUCUAUUAUAGUUGGAUCUUAUGAUGUUUCUCCCCCUCUACUCUCUUGUAGUGGAUUGAGUUUUCCCUUUGAAGUUAUCUUAUCAAAUUGAGUCUUUAAGGAUUUGAGAACACUUGAUGUAUGUCUUGUAUGUGCUUAUCUGUGGUGACAAUGGGAUAUCACGUGAUCUACUUGAUGUAUGUUUUGGUGAUCAACUUGCGGGUUCCGUGACUUUGUGAACUUAUGCAUAGGGGUUGGCACACGUUUUCGUCUUGACUCUCCGGUAGAAACUUUGGGGCACUCUUUGAAGUACUUUGUGUUGGUUGAAUAGAUGAAUCUGAGAUUGUGUGAUGCAUAUCGUAUAAUCAUACCCACGGAUACUUGAGGUGACAUUGGAGUAUCUAGGUGACAUUAGGGUUUUGGUUGAUUUGUGUCUUAAGGUGUUAUUCUAGUACGAACUCUAUGAUAGAUCGAACGGAAAGAAUAGCUUCAUGUUAUUUUACUACAGACUCUUGAAUAGAUCGAUCAGAAAGGAUAACUUUGAGGUGGUUUCGUACCCUACCAUAAUCUCUUUGUUUGUUCUCCUCUAUUAGUGAAUUUGGAGUGACUCUUUGUUGCAUGUUGAGGGAUUGUUAUAUGAUCUAAUUAUGUUAUUAUUGUUGAGAGAACUUGCACUAGUGAAAGUAUGAACCCUAGGCCUUGUUUCAACACAUUGCAAUACCGUUUACGCUCACUUUUAUCACUUGCUACCUUGCUGUUUUUAUAUUUUCAGAUUACAAAAACCUAUAUCUACCAUCCAUAUUGCACUUGUAUCACCAUCUCUUCGCCGAACUAGUGCACCUAUACAAUUUACCAUUGUAUUGGGUGUGUUGGGGACACAAGAGACUCUUUGUUAUUUGGUUGCAGGGUUGUUUGAGAGAGACCAUCUUCAACCUAUGCCUCCCACAAAUUGAUAAACCUUAGGUCAUCCACUUGAGGGAAAUUUGCUACUGUCCUACAAACCUCUGCACUUGGAGGCCCAACAACGUCUACAAGAAGAAGGUUGUGUAGUAGACAUCAAGCAGUUUCUGGCGCCGUUGCCGGGGAGGUGAGUGCUUGAAGGUAUAUAUUUAGAUCUUGCAAUCGAAUCUUUUAGUUUCUUGUUUUAUCACUAGUUUAGUUUAUAAAAUAAAACUACAAAAAAAUGGAAUUAAGGUUUCCUCGUAUGCUUCAUCUUUUUAAUGUCUUUCAUGAAAAUGAUGGAAAGGAAAAUUGUGCUCAAGUACUAGAAGAAGAAUUACAUAGAAUGCGUGGCAUAAAAUAUGUGAAUGAUGAGCAUGAUUGCAAUGUUGUUAGUAUGAAUUCUUUGAAUAUCCAUGAUGCUAAUAAUAUGCAAAUCCACAAGCUUGGGGAUGCUAUGUUUGAUGAAGAUGAUAUUUUUUGUCCCCCAUGUUUUGAUGAGCAAAUUUAGUAUGAUGAAAGCAUGCCUCCUAUUUAUGAUGAUUAUAUUGAUGAAAGUGGGUUUGGAAGAGUGUCAACUUUAGGAAGUAAUGAUCCCACUAUUUUGGAGGAUGUUGAAUAUUAUUGUGAUAAUUAUGAAAGUGGAUUUGGAGAGGUCAUGACUUUAUUUAGUGAUGAAUCCACUAUUUCGGAAGAGGUUCCAAUUGAUUAUGAGAACAAAGUUGUUACUUAUGGUGAUUAUUGUGAUGACUUGUAUGCUAUUAAGAAUAAUGAUAACCAUGAAACUUGUCAUCAUGAUUUUAGUUUUCAAUUGGAUUAUGCCUCACAUGAUAAUUAUUUUGUUGAGUUUGCUCCCACUAUUAUUCAUGAGAAGAAUUUUGCUUAUGUAGAGAGUAGUAAAUUUUCUAUGCUUGUAGAUCAUGAAAAGAAUGCUUUAGGUGCUGGUUAUAUUGUUGAAUUCAUUCAUGAUGCUACUGAAAAUUAUUAUGAUGGAGGAACAUAUGCUUGUAGGAAUUGCAAUAAUAUCAAGUUUCCUCUCUAUGUGCUUAAAGUUUUAAAGUUAUGCUUGUUUUGCCUUCCUAUGCUAGUUGAUUAUUAUUCCCAUAAAUGGUUUGCUCACAAAAUCCCUAUGCAUAGGAAGUGGGUUAGACUUAAAUGUUCUAGUCAUAUUCUUCAUGAUGCUCUCUUUAUGUUUCAAUUCUUAUCUUUUAUGUGAGCAUCAUUGAAAUCAUCAUGCCUAGCUAGGGGCGUUAAACGAUAGCGCUUGUUGGGAGGCAACCCAACUUUAUUUUUGUUUCUUGCUUUUUGGUUAUGUUUAGUAAUAAAUCUUUCAUCUAGCCUCUUUUUAGUUGUGGUUUUAUUGUUUUAAUUAGUGUUUGUGCCAAGUAGAACCUUUGGGAAGACUUGUGUGAAGUCUUUAUGAUCUUGCUGUAAAAAACAGAAACUUUAGCGCUCACGAGAUUAGCUGCCAUUUUUUUUACUGGAGAGUGAUUUUUGGUUGAUUCUUUUUGAAGAUGAUUAAUAUACAAAUUCCUCAGGUCCAACAAUUUAUUUCAGAAUUUUUGGAGUUCCAGAAGUAUACGUUUGACACAGAUUACUACAGUCUGUUCUGUUUUUGACAGAUUCUGUUUUCUAUGUGUUGUUUGCUUAUUUUGAUGAAUCUAUGAGUAGUAUCGGAGGGUAUGAACCAUAGAGAAGUUGGAAUACAUUAGAUAUUACACCAAUAUGAAUUUAGAAUGAGUUCACAACGGUACCUAAGUGGUGAUUUAUUUUCUUAUACUAACGGAGCUUACGAGUUUUCUGUUAAGUUUUGUGUUGUGAAGUUUUCAAGUUUUGGGUAAAGAUUCGAUGGACUAUGGAAUAAGGAGUGGCAAGAGCCUAAGCUUGGGGAUUCCCAAGGAACCCCAAGGUAAUAUUCAAGGACAACCAAGAGCCUAAACUUAGGGAUGCCCCGGAAGGCAUCCCCUCUUUCGUCUUCGUUCAUUGGUAACUUUACUUGGAGCUAUAUUUUUAUUCAGCACAUGAUAUGUGUUUUGCUUGGAGCGUCAUUUAAUUUUAUUUUGUUUUGCUUCCUGUUUGAAUAAAAUACCAAGAUCUGAAGUUCUUAAAUUUUAAAGAGUCUCCACAUAGUUGCAUAAUUAUUCAACUACUCAUUGAUCUUCACCUAUAUCUUUCGGAUUAGUUUGUCAUUUGCUCUAAGUGCUUCACUUAUAUCCUUUUAGAGCACGACAGUAGUUUUAUUUUAAAGAAAUACAUGAACUCUCAUGCUUCACUUAUAUUAUUUUGAGAGUCCUAAACAGCAUGGUAAUUUUCUUUGGUUAUGAAACUAGUCCUAAUAUGAUAGGCAUCCAAGAUGGGUAUAAUAAAAACUUUCAUAUAAAGUGCAUUGAAUACUAAGAGAAGUUUGAUACUUGAUAGUUGUUUUGAGAUAUAAAGGUGGUGAUAUUAGAGUCGUGCUAGUUGGGUAAUUAUGAAAUUGAGAAAUACUUGUGUUGAGGUUGGCAAGUCCCGUAGCAUGCACGUAUGGUAAACGUUGUGUGACAAAUUUGAAGCACGGAGUGUUAUUUGAUUGCUUUCCUUAUGUGUGGCGGUCGGGGAUGAGCAAUGGCCUUUUCCUACCAAUCUAUCCCCCUAGGGGCAUGUGUAGUAGUACUUUUCUUCGAGGGCUAAUAAACUUUUGCAAUAAGUAUAUGAGUUCUUUAUGACUAAUGUGAGUCCAUGGAUAUUACACACUCUCACCCUUCCAUCAUUGCUAGCCUCUUCGGUACCGUGCAUUCCCUUUCUCACGUUGAGAGUUGGUGCAAACUUCGCCGGUGCAUCCAAACCCCGUGAUACGAUACGCUCUAUCACAUAUAAACAUCCUUAUAUCUUCCUAAAAACAGCCACCAUACCUACCUAUUAUGGCAUUUCCAUAGCCAUUCCGUGAUAUAUUGCCAUGCAACUUUCCACCGUUCCGUUUAUUAUGACACGCAUCAUCAUUGUCAUAUUGCGUUGCAUGAUCAUGUAGUUGACAUCGUAUUUGUGGCAAAGCCACCUUCAUAAUUAUUUCAUACAUGUCACUCUUAAUUCAUUGCACAUCCCGGUACACCGCCGGAGGCAUUCACAUAGAGUCAUAUUUUGUUCUAAGUAUCGAGUUGUAAUUCUUGAGUUGUAAGUAAAUAAAAGUGUGAUGAUCAUCAUUAUUAGAGCAUUGUCCCAUGUGAGGAAAGGAUGAUGGAGACUAUGAUUCCCCCACAAGUCGGGAUGAGACUCCGGACGAAAGAAAAAUAAAAGAAAAGAAAAAGAGGCCAAAAAAAAGAGAAGGCCCAAACAAAAAAAAAAUAAAAGAAAAAAUGAGAUAAAAGGAGAGAAGGGACAAUGUUACUAUCCUUUUUCCACACUUGUGCUUCAAAGUAGCACCAUGAUCUUCAUGAUAGAGAGUCUCUUAUUUUGUCACUUUCAU
rnacentral:lncRNA from 1 species